CCGUUGGGGAUGGUGGAGCCGACGGGGGCCAUGAAGAAGGUGAUGCCGUCAGCGGUGAGGUUGGUGGGGCUGGGUGUGAUUAUGAAGUUUACGGUGGUUUCAAAGUCGACUUGGCCGCCGGCUUGGGAGAACUGGACCGGGUUCGAGUGCAAGACCCGGCCGACACUGCCUAUCGUCGGGAAGGUGAGGCGGAGGAAGGGGGAGUUCCAUACGAAAUGGGCGUGGCCUUGGUAGGUGAGAUCGGUCGGCAAGUCGCUCCAGAAGUCGUAGGUGAAGGACGUCGAUUGGGACUGCGCAGUGUUGGCGGCAGCGGCGAGGAGGAGGAUGAUGGAGGAGAGGAGAGGAAUUAGGGUUUGGAGGAGCUUAGCCAUGGCUUAAUUGAGUAUAUUUAGAUGUGGUGGAUGAUGGUGGUAUCUCUUGCUCCUAUUUAUAGUGAAUAGUGUAUAGAGUAUAGUGUAUAUAUGCAUGAUAUUAUGAUUUAAUUUCCUAUGAAUUAUUGAACUUUCAUCAAAUUUUUAUUUUAUAUAUAAACUUCAAAUUAAAUGUAGCGUGAUAAUCACUAAAUUUAUUUAAUCUUAUAUUUGCUACCAAUCAGGAUUCUAGCCAAAUUNAAUAUAUUGGUGUGGGUCCGUGGACGUAGGCAGUUUGGCCGAACCACGUUAAAAAUAUCGGUGUCAUUUUUCUUCUCGUUUCAUAUCGGUCGAUAUCCACAAUAUUGAGUCACACUUGAUCCCGGGCGGAAUUAGUUGUGUCUAAUUUCCCAAUAACAAUCCUGGGCGGAAUUAUUGGCGUCUAUAAUUCCCAACAACAAUAUCAUGGAUGGCGACGUAUGGUUGGCUUAGUCCGCUGGCGGCGGAGAGCCCUACCUGAACCUGCUCGGGAAGAAAGCCGCUCAAAUCGUACUCAUAGAUGACCUCAAACGUCUUCGAGCCGGCGGUGGCACUGACGGUGAUCAUCUUCGUGGCUCCGACGUAGUUGAUCCGCGCAGUCACCUGCUGUCCGACUAAGGCGCCGUCGACCUCUGUCGUGUUGCGGGAUUCCCUAGAUCCGAUGUCGAUACCGAUGUGGGGGUAGUUCGGAUCCCACGGGCUGUUGACAUAGGUGUCAAACUCGACGGCGAAGACAGAUGGGCUAUUUCCGGGAGACUCCGAAGAUUCCGAGGUUGCCCCCGCUGCCGCCGUUGGGGAUGGUGGAGCCGACGGGGGCCAUGAAGAAGGUGAUGCCGUCAGCGGUGAGGUUGGUGGGGCUGGGUGUGAUUAUGAAGUUUACGGUGGUUUCAAAGUCGACUUGGCCGCCGGCUUGGGAGAACUGGACCGGGUUCGAGUGCAAGACCCGGCCGACACUGCCUAUCGUCGGGAAGGUGAGGCGGAGGAAGGGGGAGUUCCAUACGAAAUGGGCGUGGCCUUGGUAGGUGAGAUCGGUCGGCAAGUCACUCCAGAAGUCGUAGGUGAAGGACGUCGAUUGGGACUGCGCAGUGUUGGCGGCAGCGGCGAGGAGGAGGAUGAUGGAGGAGAGGAGAGGAAUUAGGGUUUGGAGGAGCUUAGCCAUGGCUUAAUUGAGUAUAUUUAGAUGUGGUGGAUGAUGGUGGUAUCUCUUGCUCCUAUUUAUAGUGAAUAGUGUAUAGUGUAUAGAGUAUAGUGUAUAUAUGCAUGAUAUUAUGAUUUAAUUGCCUAUGAAUUAUUAAACUUUCAUCAAAUUCUUAUUUUAUAUAUAAACUUCAAAUUAAAUGUAGCGUGAUAAUCACUAAAUUUAUUUAAUCUUAUAUUUGCUACCAAUCAGGAUUCUAGCCAAAUUUACUAUUGACAUUACAAAGUCGAGGAUAUCCUAAGAUGGAUUGAAACAUUAAGAUAUUCCAAGGAUCUUAAUAAUUUCUAUCAUUUGGCAUAAUUUUAUUUGAUUCAUAUCUCAUUGAAAGAAUAUGAUUUUUAUCCCCUCCGUUCACAAAGAUUGUAUGGUGAACUCAGGACAUGAGUUUUAAUAAAUACUUCUUCCGUCCCCAAAAUAACUUUCUAUGAGAGAGGGGCACGAGUUUUAAGAUAAAAUUGUUGAGUGUAUUCGAAGUGGUUAAAAAGUGUUAGUAUUGAAAGUGAUGAAAAUGUGUUAUAAUUAGUAUUUGAAGUGGUGAAAAGGUAAAAAAAUAGAGUAAAUAUAUGGAGUAUAUAUUAGUAGAAAGUGUAGAAAGAUCCACCAAAAUUGAGUGGAGAAAAAGAUCCACUAAAAUUGAUGUGUUAAAUGGUUGAAUAUUUUGUAAAUAUUGAAUGUGAAUGAUGUUUAAAAUGUAAGGGGCGUAGUUUCUAAAUAAAGAAAGCAUACAAUCUUUAUGGACAGACGAAAAUAAUAAUAAACAUACAAUCUUUGUGGAUUGAGGGAGUGAUAAACAUUUCAUUCAUUUAUUGUGGUUUGGAAUCGAUCUUUAUCAACAUUACAUGCAUUCACAAAUAUGAAGAAGGAUUUAAAACGUGUGACACCUUAUUUUAUAUUUAAAAUCGCAAUCACGAAGAGGACCACACUUAUCCUCUAAUCAAUGCUCUCCAUUAUUUUAUAGGAAAGGAUAAACAUGAUUCUUGGUUUAUUUAUGCUUUUAAUAUAUACAAUUAGAUGAUUUUUGGGGCAAAAAGUGAAGAUUUUGAUGUCCGACGGAGUCAAGUAAAGAAGUUGAAAAAAUCGAUUUUUGAUGCAAUUUUAGAAGAUCCAAAGAUGAUAAGAUCUGUGCUUGAGGGAACUUAUUUUGCAUAAGAAAGACUUUCAUUAAUUUCUUAAUUCGAGUAUAAAAUUAGAGGAUUAAAACCACAACUAAUGUUCCUUUGGCUUUUCCUUGAACAAUGUUGGGUAGCUAGUGAAUUUUCUUUGGUAAGUUCGUCCUUUUCUUUGACAAUGAGAAUUGACGUAAAUUGGAUUGUAUUGAAGAUUCUAGUAACAUUAUUCUAGUUUAUAUUUCAUGAUUUAAGGGCUGAAAAUAUGUAAGUAUGUUAAAGGCUAAAUUUUAGGUAAAUAAGUGCUCCAUACUUUGUUAAUAUGCCACUUUACAAAUAAUGUAUGUGUGAACUUGAAUUUGUUUUUUCAUUUAAAGAGAACUAAUAAUGAUAUCCAUUUCCCCCGUGAUGAUUCGAACCCCCAACUUAACAAUUACUGGUGAAACGUUUUAUCCAUGUGAUGACUCUAACCCCCCAAUUUAUAAUUAAUGAUUGGAUGGGAAGCGUAUUGAGGUUGUUAGUGAUUCUUCCAAGGUUAUUUUGUAACUAUGAACUAUCGAUUUUGUAUCAAUUGUACCCUGCAUUUGUUUUUUAGCUAGAGAAAAUAUGAGAAAAGAAAUGAGACAUUUAAAGGCAUAAAUUUUUGUUAUCCCUCAUUUUCUCAUCCAUCAAAGUGAACGCACCCUUAAAUGAUGAUUUGAAAAAAUAAAGUGAUUGUUUCUACGCUAAACCUAAUUGCGUUCGGCCUUUUUCGUUAUUUUAGUAUUUUCCUCAUUUAUUUUCAAUUCUGUUUCCUAUAUAUGGAUAUUUGAUGUAUGAGAAGAUGCUUUCAUAUGAUCCAUUUCAGAAAUAAAAUUAUUUAUUUUCUUUCUCACGAAGAGCGCUCACUUUGACAUCAGUAUCGCAUGAGCUGCACAUAAUUAAUGAAAGAAAAUAAGCAUACACUUGCAUUAUAUAAGAAGAGCAUAUAUACUCGCAGCCGUUUCUCAUAAAUUUCACGCAGUUUUUCGAUCUUUAGAGCCGCCGGCAUGCUCGGCCGAUCUGAAGCUCCAGUAGUCGAUAUCGUGAAGGGCGACGAGGUCGCCGGUGGAGGAGGCGAUUCCGACCUGAACCUGCGACGGAAGAAUUUCCCCCAAAUCAUACUCGUAUUCGAGAAGGCGAGUUUCUUUGUCGCAUUUGAGCGUAACGUCGAUGAAAUUGAUGCCGUCGUAUUGUAUGUGCAGCUGCGCCUCUUUCCCGAUGCACGAAUCGCCAAAUUUCACGAAGUUGCUCGACUUUAUCGAGCUGAUGUCGAUGCCGAUGUGCGGGAGAUCGUGGCUCGGAUCCCAACCGUUGGAGUAGAGGUCGAAUUCCACGGCAAAGAAGGCGGAGGCGGCCGGGCUAUCCCCCGAGGGGUUGAAUAGGCCUAGAUUGCCUCCGUAGGAACCCGGGGGGAUGGUGGUCCCCACGGGCGCCAUGAAGAAGGCGAUGCCGUCCGCGGCCGGGCCUUUUGUGGGGGUGAUGGUGAAUUUUAUGGUGGUAUUGAAAGAUACUACAAUUGAAUUUUCCCACAAUUUGAAGGGUUUGGAGUACAAUACGCGGCCGAUGCUCGACGGCCGUGGAAGGCCGUUGGCGUCGGUCUUGGUUAGCCGGAGGGAACGGGCGCCGUCGGGGACGUGGGCGUCGCCCUGGUAGGUUAGGUCGGUGGAGUUGGCGACGAAGGAGGUGAAGGUGAAGGAGGUCUUUUGUGAGGUCGCCUUGUUUGCUAGCAUUAGGAAAAAUGCUAUGCAAAAGAGGAGAAGAAUUAGGGUUUGUAGAAGCUUGGCCAUGGCUUGAUUUGAUGGGUGGAGUAUUAUUUGGAUGUAGUGAAUAGUGGUUGGCUCUCUAGCCCUAUUUAUAUUGGUUUAAUGCCACAUUCCAUUAUUAGUUUAAUAUAUUGUAGCUCACUAUUUUUUUUGAACUUUAUGGAGAAGGCAUGAGUUUUUUAAAAAAAUUGAGAAAUGUGUAUAAAAUGAAUAAAGAGGCUCACUAAAGUUGAUUUGGCAGGUAUUAAUAAAUUAUUUGUGUGAUGAGUUUUUUGUAAAUAUUGUGUGUGAAUGAGGGUAAAAUAUAAAGGUACAUAUGUCUUAAAAGGGACGGAAAUGACAAAUACUUAUUGUGGAUAAAGGUAGUAUAAUAUACGGAGUGUAUACUUAAGUUUAUCAAUUUUAUUACUAAAUUAAAUAUGGUUAAUUUAAUAUCAAUAUGCUUAUUAGUAAUUAGUAUUACUCCAUUCAUCCCAAAAACAUCAAUCUUUACUUAUUUUUUCGUUCGUCUCCAAAACAUCUUCCUAAUCUAUUUUUAUGUCCUGUAUUAAAUUUUCAAGCUAGUUUCACUCCCCAACUAUCGUUUAAAUUAUACAUACAUAUAUGGACGACUUGAAAAUUUGUUAAGGCAAUUGAUUAUGCCCAUGCCGUAUAGAAUCAAAAACCAUUCCUAAACAAAAAAUAGAAUAAUUAAGAAAAUAAUCUAGAAUAUAAAUAUAGAACUUAAAUUCUUUGCCACAAAUUUAAGUCAAUCAGCCGACAUAGUAAAUGUAUGUGUUUACAAGUAAUCAUGCCUUGUCUUGAGAUUCAAGUUGGCAAUUGAAGCAAAAUUUCUCACACAUAGCUAUCUACUCUAGCUAUGAAAUCAUGCAUUGUCUUGAGAUUUAAUUUGGCCCAUGAAUCCAAAUUUUGCAAUCAUGCCAUGUCUUAAGAUUCAAUUUGGCCCAUGAAACUAAAUUUCUUGAGCCUAUCUCUAACCUCUUUGAUAUUCAUAUAUAAUAACACCUUUAAAACACACACAACCCACUUCUAAAGUUCUACAUGUAUACACACGAACUCAUGCUUAUGUCACAAAUUAAGUUUUUCAAAAAUAAACUUUUCCCUAUUUGAAUUCCUUAUGUAUUCAGUUUGUUUUUAAUAUUUAAACUAUGUUAUUACAACAAAAUUAUCUAGCAGGGACAUGAUUUUAGCAACAUAAAAAAAGAUGUCAUAAAUUUCUUACUCCCUCCGUCCUCCGAAGCUUGAUCAACAAUUUCUUUUCGGCACGGAGUUUAAGGAGUUAAUAUUUUGUAUGUUAAUUAGUGUGGUAGGUGAAAAAAUGAAAAGAUGAAUAACGGGAAAAGUUGUUGCCAUAUAAGGAAAGUGAUCAAGCUUCGCGGAUAACCCAAAAAUGAAUACUGCUCAAGAUUCGCUGGAAGAAUGAAGUACAAUUUUAGGCAUAACAAAAAUUUAUUUACAUCCACACAUGCAUGCACCGAUACUUUAUCACAUGCAAAAUUACAAGUAACUUUGCUAAUUACAAAAAUUAAUACAUGAACCCUCAAAUGUCACUAGAUGUAAUGAUAUUUUUAUAUUUUUUCGACACACAUAAUAGUUACUCAUCACAAAAUAUCAAUAUUUUUAUCAUAUAGUGAUAUUUAUAAGUUUCACAAUUUUUCAAAUAUUAUGUCAAUGCUAGCUUAGACAUUUUGUUUUGACACUUUGUAUUGAAACAUGUUUUUUACAAAAAUAAAAUAAUUGAAUUUAUUAACGAAUAUUUAAACAAUCAAUCAAUAAUAACUACAAAGUGAAGCAAUUCAAGUUAAAAGGUAAAUUCUAAAUUUAAAUUUGAAAAACAAGAAAAUUCGAGCCUUAAUUUUUUUUAUUUUUUUAUAUACGCACUACAAAUCUCCCAUAAAUCUUAAAUCAAAAUUUAACCUUACAACAAAAAAUAAAUAUAUAAACUAAAAUGGAGUAUGAUAAUAUAGUUUUAUCAAAUUAUUUGAUAAUUCUAUUAAUAAAAGAUAAAAAAAAAAAUAAGGGGGGCCCACGGGCAUGCUGCCCCCAUAUGCUAUGGACCAUGGUGGCUAGGUCACUGCGCUCUCGAGAUCUACACUAUUUAUACGUGGUAUUCAUUGCGAAUUAUUUUGCAUUAUCUUUGUUUAUUUUUCUUAUAUUGGGAAAGAAAACAUGAGUAAUAUAUAGUAAUCUUUUAGAAGUCCAGUUACCAAUGUCGUCAAAAUUAUCUUGUCUAUUUUUAGAAGUUCAGAUAAACAUGCAACACAUUUUCAGAAGAAAUUUAAUAAUCUCUUACGAUUUACAUUUAUUUUUUAAAUAAUUAUCUCAGUGGUGAUAAAAUAAAAAAAUCGACUACAUUUUUCUAAGUAAUUUAUUAGAUACAAAAUAUUAUGAUUUAUGUUUGUAUAUUUUUUGUUUCCCAUUAGUGCAUUAUCAUUUCUAAGUAUCUUCUCACUUGUUCACUGAUUCACUAUUGGAUUAACAUGAAUAUACGAAUUUCAUAGUAUACCAACUGUUCGAUAAAAGUCCUAAAAGAAAUCUUCCAUAGAUAACCUUGCAAAUAACAGGAAACUAAAAUUACUCCCAAAGCAUUCCAUACAUAGAGAUGCGGAUUACCUUAUUCGUAGACUUAACGAGAGUACACUCGAUCGCUAGUCCUUAUUUACGACCCAAACUACACAUACAUUACAAAAUCACACAACUUGACGAAUGUUUCCACCGAGCUCCUUCCUGCUCUUGGCAGCGACGCCGACGUUUUGCACCAUGGUGGCCGUGAAAUACCACGCCACGAUGUCGUGUCUGGCGACGACUUGCCCCGUGGAGGCGGAGAGCCCGACUUGGACCUGCUCAGGAAGGAAGCCGCUCAAAUCGUACACAUAGCUGACCUCGAACGCUUUCGAGCCGGCGGUGACGUGGACGUCGAUCAUCUUCGUGGCGGCGGCGUAGUUGAUCCUUGCCGUCACCUGCUGCCCGAUUAUGGAGCCGUCGACCUCCGUCGUGUUGCCGGAUGACCUAGAGCCGAUGUCGAUGCCGAUGUGGGGAUAGUUCGGAUCCCACGCGCCGUUGACGUAGGUGUCGAACUCGACGGCGAAGACCGAGGGGCUGCUGCCGGAGGAGCCGAAGAUUCCGAGGUUGGAUCCGCUAGAGGAGGAAGGGAUGGUGGACCCGACGGGGGCGAUGAAGAAGGCGAGGCCGUCGGCGGCAGAGUUGCCGGGGCCAGGUGUGAUGAUGAAGUUUACGGUGGUUUCAAAGUCGACUUGGCCGCCGGUUUGUGAGAACUGGACCGGGUUCGAGUACAAUACCCGGCCAACUUUGGCGGUCUGUGCGUCGGUGAGGCGGAGGAAGGUGGAGUCCGACGGGAAAUGGGCGUCGCCUUGGUAGGUGAGGUCGGUCGGCUGGUCGCCCCAGAAGUCGUAGGUGAAGGACGUCGAUUGGGACUGCGCCACGUUGGCGGCGGCGAGGAGUAGGGCGACGGAGGAGAGGAGAGGAAUUAGGGUUUGGAGAAGCUUGGCCAUUGCUUAAUUGAUUUGGAUGUGGUGGAUGAUGGUGAUAUGUCUUAAGCUUGCACUCCUAUAUAUACUAGUGUAGUUCAUGCAUGAUAAUGUUGUUUAAUCAUCAUAUAUUUUAUUUCAUUAAAAUGAAUCACCUCGUCCAUUCGAGGUAAAUGAACCAUGUGAUCUUAUGUACUACCAGCCACAUUUUAAUUUGCUCGUUGGAAUAUUAUCUAUAGUUGUAUCUAUUGUAUUUGUAUAAAUGAUUUUUGGAAGGGAACUUAGAAAAAGUUCUUGAUAGGGGCUGUAUUUUUUAAUUUCAAGUGCAAAAUUAAGUUUUGAUAGACAAUUUACUUAUGAUUCAAUUUAACGAUCGGGUUUUCUGAAAAAAAAAAAUUCACACAAAAAAUCGAUUAUUUAAUAAUUUUAUAAGAAAAAAGAAGAAGAAGAAAUUUUCUAUUUAGGAUAUACACGAGCAGAUGAGAUCCUCUGUCCCACUAUUUUGUGUGUACCACCAUGUACCAUUCUUAAUUUAUUUAUUUUAGUAAUUAUUUUUUAUAAAAAUAAAAAUUAUUAUUAUAUUUUUUAUUUUCAUUUAAGUGAGUUACUAGAUUUAUUUGGGGUGAGCACAGGUUAUUUUGGAAAAGGAGAAUAUCUGUAAGAUGAUGUGAAAAUUAUUCAAUAUAAGCACAUAUAGGGGUUGAGUUCUCAAAGGAACUUAAUUAAUAUCCAAUGUGAUUGAUACAUUUCGACUAAAUGGAUGGACUGUGACGCCCCGACCAAAAGUAAAGAGUGAUUGUGAUCGGUGCACAAGGCAUGGAUGAAAAGCGGUUCCUAGUAAUGCUUCGAUACGGAGGAUACAUGAAUGAAUCGAAACACACCAGAAAGAGAGGGAUUCCAUGAGUACGUACGCAGGUAUAUGACUGCAUAUUCGAGGAGCUUAAAUAAUUUUAUUGGUGUUACUCAUAUCAACAAGAUGCAUCUUCUUUUUUGGUGACCAUAUGAAAUAAACUCCAAGGUUAAGCGUGCUUGGCGUAGAGCAACUUGAUGAUUGGUGACCUCCCUAAGAAGUUUAUCAGAAAGCGUGCUAGUAAGAACAAAACAUGCUAGAAAAGACUCAUAUUAGUCUGUGGGGACAGCCGUUAAAUUUGGAUUCGGGUCUUUACAAGUGGCAUUAGAGAUUAACCUCUCACAGUAUGGUGCGGUUCGGGAACGAACCAAGCGGAAGUUGGUACUCAAUAUUCCAUCUAUUGUGAGUUUCUUUGUCUUCUUCAUCUUUCUUUUACUCUGCUGUCGAGUUUCAGAGAGUAAUCAGAUAGGUUUUCAUUCGAGUUGAGUUUCUUGAGUGAUAAACUGUUAAUUGUGAGUUUCAUUCGAUCAUUUGUUGAUUAUAAAUAUCUGCACAUGGAUAUUGGUCAAUUUAGAUACACUGAUCUUCAAAUUGAUUGACGAAUCUUUAGAAUUCAAAAUUUAAAUCAAAUACGCGUGUUCAUAGUUAAUUGGUAAGUACACUUUUUUUUNAUAUAAAUAUAAUUGACUCGAGAUCUCUGCUACUUACGCAUACUUCGCUCGAGACAAAAAUAAAUAAUUGAUCAUUGAGAACUCCGCUACCACACCAUACUCGUGUACUAUUUAUCAUUGUUUAUGAUUAUUAAUAAAGACGUGUCUUUGCCUGAUAAAUUUAAUUUUCAUACUCUUGAUUCUUUUUUGGCCAUAUCAUUUUUUAAAAAAUUGGGAGGGGAAUGGUGGAAAUUGAAUAUGAAAAAUACCAGUCAAAUGAUACAUGUGCACUUUCAAAGACAAAACAUAAAUGUAACCUUCGUUUGUAAAACAUAGAAAUUCUACCAUAUAUUUGUGAUUAUUUUACCUUUAUACGAUCUAUUUAUAUAUAUUUAUUAGAAUUAAUAAAAAUAUACUACAUUCGUCCACGAAAAAGAAUCUCAUUGUGUGCUGGAUGUGAGUCGUAUCGAGAGUGAGAGGGAACACAUUGUCUCCGGUCUCUGCCGUCUUGGCGAGAUCUUCGGCAUUGGCCUGAUCCGGCCGCUGAGGUGGCCGGUAGGUCAUCCAUGGAGUAUGGCUAUAUUCAUACUCGUAUCCCAUUUUGGUUGUAGAACAAGAAGGCGGUGUUGUUGAAAUCGUCGUCGUUGAUAUCCUUUGGAAAACCGGCUGGGAUAGUUUUCGCCAUUAGAGUGAUGUGCGUAGAAGAGAGGAUCUUCCGGCGGUCUUCGCGGAAACCGUUGUCGCGUGUCCAUAGUUCAUGGAUUGAAAAUAUGCAGGUAAAGCACCCGGCGUACUCGGCCAUACAAUUAACUCGCCAUCAUGAGCUAUAAUUCUAUUCGAGUAAGUUCAAUCUCUAAUGAAUUAAUAUAUUUUUAUAAAUAUAUAAUUUGCAAAAUAACCUUAAAAUAAAAUAUGUAAUAAGGGUAAAAUAGGCAAUCCACAUGUUGUGCUCAAUGCUCUUUUUAUAUUACUAGGAGAAAGAUAAUUAAUGUUAUUUUAUCUAAUAAAAUAAAAAAUAUAAAUAUAAUAUUUAUUAUAUUUAAAUUUUUAAUUAACAAUUUUGUUUAUUUAAUUCUCUUAUCUCUUACAAUAUUUUUUUUUAGAAAAUCUAUUAGUUCAUUACUUCGACUAAAUAUAAUUUAUUGGAUAGAUAUAUUUAUUUAUAAGCCUUAUCAAUAGCUAUAGAUAUAUAUUACAUAGAUUUAAUGUAAUAUUUAAUGAAUCAAUAGCUCUUUUCUUUUAUAUUAGUAUAGAUUAUAUAGAUAGAUAUAUAUAGUGCAUGCAUGAUAAUGUUGAUUGAUCAUCGUAACUAUAUAAUUUAUUGCACUAAUAAUGAAUCACGUUCCCACUCGAGGUAUAUAAAAUGAAUCAUGUGACCUUUUCUACUACCCGACACAUUUUGCUCCUUGGAAUAUUAUUUAUAAUUGUGUCUAUUGUAUAGUGCAUGCAUGAUAAUGUUGUUUAAUCAUCAUAAAUCUUCAUGGCUCAUCCACCUCAUCCAAUCGAAGCAUAUAAUGAACCAUGUGAUCAUAUCUACUACCUGACACAUUUUGCUUCUUGGAAUGCUAGCUAUAAUUGUAUCUAUUGUGUGAAUGUAAGCAAAAGGGCGCGCACAAUUUUUUAUUUUUUUUUGGAUAGGUGACUCGCUCAAAAUACCUAUUGAAUUGACUCGUAAUCGCACGAGGUCAUUCUAGCGUAGUAAGCUAACCCAUGUCGUAUCUCACAAGGAAGAUUAAGCAGGACGACUAAUUUUGGAUUAUUUUUAAUCAAAUGUUGGAUAUUUUUUAAUUAGAGUAAAAUUAAAAUAAGUAAAUUAUUGUAUAUUUUCAGAUUCGGAAACUAAUGGCUUUAUUUUAAUUUAAUCAUUUUCAUAUGUCAGUUAUAUUAUGUAAAUGACGUUUUUAGUAACAAACAAAUGACAUUUUAAUCAAUAAAUGAUACUUUUAUCAAUAAUAAAUGAAACCAUAUUAAGGUAAAUAGGGUAAAGGUUAGACUUAACUGUGAAAGCAUCAUGAGUUUUAUGUGUAACAUUUUCGGUGUGAAAAUUGAUGAGUUAAAAAAAAUGCUCCAUAUUGAAUUCGACAUUAGAUGAAUCUACAGUAGAUUUUCAUGCAUGAUCUAAGAGCUGAAAAUGAUUCACGGUCUAUAUUUAUUCUAUCAAAUUCCAUAUCACUUUAAAUCUCAAAUUACAUUUGCACUAUAUAUGAUUAUAUCCUAAAUUAUCAUAAAUAUGAACCGCUUAAAUCUGGCGUCGUUGCACCGCGGACAUCUUGCCGCUGCUUUCUCCCACCAUUGCCCUUGCUGCCCUCAUCUUAGGUGCCAAUUUUUUGCUCGUCGUGCAGAAUUUGAAAGGGGUAAAUUAUUUUUUCAAUUUUUUAUUGCAUUUUGCUGUCUAAGUUGAUUUCUCAAGUAAAGUGGACUUGGGUUUUGUUUCGAUUAUAGCUGAAUUCGAUGGCGCUGUGUGGUUAGAUCUGUAAUUUUGACGUGUUGUUGAAGUGUGCGGGAUUGAAUGUGAUCUGGGAGAAUUUAAGGGUUUUGGGACGUUAGUAUGAUGAUGGUGGGAUUUGAAUGAAUUUGAAUACCAGAUUAUGGUUGAUGUUUAAUUAUGUGAAUCUUGCGAUCUGUGUUGAAAUUAAUGUACAGUAUCUUCGCCUAGCCGGGGGUUCACCAUUUGGUUCCCGACCGUCCUGCUGCCUUCACUCCACACUCAAGUGCCAAUAUCUUCUUCUCGUUUCUCUUCCUUCUUCUUCUCCUCUUAGUACCUGCAAGACAGAAGGAAAAACCAGCAAGUAUAAAGAAAAAUCAGAAAACUUAAAGAAGUAAAGAAAGAAAGAAAACAAAGGAAACUCGAGGUGGGAAAAAGGUGUCCUCGGGACACAGGUGGCUCAGAUUUUUCCCACAGUGGCAACACACUCCGGCAGCUCAAAGACCACGGCACAAAGGGGAAGGGAAGUCAGAUCGGAGCUCAAAUCUGACGAGCACAGCCACCAAUAAUCAGGAAUCCGGUGGACAGGAUUCCGGCGGCUCAGAAAUCCUUCGCUUUAUCACCAAACAGGAAAUCUAAGGUCAGCAAUCCGACAAUAAUGCUAUCAACAGGAGGAAGCUCUCACUUUACGGCCACAACACCGGAAACCAGAACGGAAACCAGAGAACAGAAGGAAUAGCAGAGCCUUCAAGGUUGUGAACAUACUACAGAACUUCCCCCAAUCGAUUGCUUUAUAACCGAGACAGAGAAGGGUCGGGAAGAUGUAGUGGGCUUUGGGAAGGAGGAGGAAGCCAUUAAUGGUGGUGGAGCUCGAGGGAAAGCGAGAUCAGCAGUCGUGAAGACUUAGGGUUUGGGAGGGGAUUUGAGGUGGAGCGGCGGAGGUUGAAAUGAGGGAAAGGCCGAGUGAGAGAGGGAGUAUUUCAGUGGAUAAUGGGCUAGGGUAUUUUUGAGUUAACGGGCUAUAGGUGUCUGGGCCCAAAAGUUGGGCCAGAGAAGGGAUAAAGAGCAUUGGGCCAACAUUCCACAAUUAAGACAAUUAAGAGUAGAAAUUCUUCUUGAUUUGCUAAUUUAUUUAGGAUUAGCGAUAUUAGUUUGGAGUUUUAGAUGUCGAUUGAUUUCGUGAUCUUGAUUUAUGUGAUAAAUGCCUCUCAUCACUAAGAUUUGGAAUAUAUUGGAUAUCUAGGAUAGUGAUAUUAGUUUGGAGUUUUAGAUGUUGAUGUGUCUUUUUAGGCUGCGUUUACUUUGAUGGAUAAAUUUAUAUAUGGAAAAGGAUGGAUAACACAAAUUUAUGCUUUUAAAUGUCUCCUUCCUCUUCCAACAUUUGACACAAAAAGAGAUGCUCGCUAUUUUUUCUUCCUUAUCUUCACUUCAAGGAUGGAUAAUAUUAUCCCUCCAUUUUGGUGUGAUAAUAUUAUCCAUCAUUGAAGUGAAGAUAAGGAAGGAAAAAUAGUAGAGCAUCUCUUUUUGUGUCAAAUGUUGGAAAAGGAAAGAGACAUUUAAAGGCAUGAAUUUGUGUUAUUCAUCAUUUUCCAUAGAUAAAUUUAUCCAUCAAAGUAUACGAAGCCUUAUGUGAUAAAUGCUUUUUUAGGGGGGCCCACGGGCAUGCUGCCCCAUAUGCUAUGGAGUAUGGACCAUGGUGGCUCGGUCACUGCGCUCUCGAUUGCGAAUUAUUUUGCAUUAUCUUUGUUUGUUUUUCUUAUAUUGGGAAAGAAAACAUAGAGUAAUAUAUAUUUUAGAAGUCCAGUUACCAAUGUCGUCAAUCUCGAGUGAAAAUAAAUAUUACCAUAACACAAAAAUGACAAAGCUAUUGAUUAGUGACGAUAUGUUAGAAGUUCAGAUAAACAACACAUUUAUUCUUGUGUAUAUUAUAUUAACGUUUAUUAUAUAUUAUAAAAAGAACAUAUUCUUUCAAAAUUAUCUUGUCUAUUUUUAGAAGUUCAGAUAAACAACACAUUUUCAGAAGAAAUUUAAUAAUCUCUUACGAUUUACAUAUAAUUUUUAAAUAAUUAAUUAUCUCAGUGGUGAUAAAAUAAAAAAACGAAGUAAUUUAUUAUAUACAAAAUAUUAUGAUUUAUGUUUGUAUAUUAUUUGUUUCCAUUAGUGCAUUAUCAUUUCUAAGUAUCUUCUCACUUGUUCACUGAUUCACUAUUGGAUUAACAUGAAUAUACGAAUUUCAUAGUAUACCAACCGUUCGAUAAAAGUCCUCAAAGAAAUCUUCCAUAGAUAACCUUGCAAAAGUACGUGUAUCUAUAUUAAUAGAAUAAGAGCCUAAGGAAUCUUAAAACACAAUUUUUGGAUUGCCUAUUUUACCACUAUUAUAUAUUAUUUUAAAAUUAUUUUACAUAUUAUAUAUUAAUAGGAAUAUAUUAAUUCAUUAGAUAUUACACUAAAUCUAUGUGAUAUAUUUCUAUAGCUAUUGAUAAGGCUUAUAAAUAAAUAUAUAUCCAUCUAAUAAAUUAUCUAAUAAAAGUAAUGAAUUAAUAGAUUUUUUAAAAUAAUAAAUUAUCAAAUAAAAUAACAUUAAUUACACACGUACGUUCUUUCUGCUAGCUAGUUAAAUAAAAAGAAGAAGAAACUGAGACUGAAAAAGGGAGAAUUAAGAUAGUCCAUUAUUAUCGUCUUAUUUUUAGAACUUAAACGAGAGAAAAGUCCAUCGCUAGUCCUAAUUUACAACACAACACAACACAUGAUAAUAAAUUUAAAUCACACAUAUUGCCGGAUGUACCCUUCCUCCUCUUUGCCGGCGGCGGCAUGCACGAGGGUGGACGUGAAAUACCACGAGACGAUGUCGUGCACGGCGUCUUGGCCUCCGGUGGCCGCGGAGAUCCCGACCUGAACCUGCUGAGGAAGAAUGGCGCUCAGGUCGUACACAUAGCUCACCUCGUAUGUUUGCGAGCCGGCGGCGAGGCUCACGCUGAUCAGCUUAGUGGCUUCCAGGUAGUUGAUGCGCGCAGUCACCUGCUGCCCGAGCAACGCGUUGCCGACGUUGGUCACGUUUUUGGAAACAUUAGAUUCGAUGUCGAUCCCGAUAUGGCGAUAGCUAGGAUCCACUCCGGGGUUGGAGAAGACGUCGAAUUCCACGGCGAAGACGGCGGGGCCGACGCCGGAGGAGUUGAAGAUUCCGAAGCAGCCGCCGGUGAAGCCGAGGGGUAAGCCGACGGGGGCGAUGAAGAAGGUCACGCCGUCGGCGGGGUUCGUGUCGCCUGCGUUGGGGGUUACGGCGAACGUCAGGGUGGUCUCGAAGUCGACCUGCGCGCCGGCCUCCCAGAACGUGAUCGGGGCUGAGUACACGGCCCGGCCGACGCUGUACUGGACCGCGCUGCCGGAGCUGGUGGUGUUGGUCAUGCGGAGGAAGGUGGAGUCCGACGGGAAGUGGGCGUCGCCUUGGUAGAGGAGAUCGGUCGGCUGGUCGCCCCAGAAGUCGUACGUGAAGGCUGUCGAUUGGGACUGCAUGCGCCGUGUUGGCGGCGGUGGCGAGGAGGAGGGCGAUGGAGAUUAGGGUUUGGAGAAGCUUGGCCAUGGCUUAAUUGAGUUAGUAGUAUUUGCUUUGGAUGUGGUGUGAUGAUGGUGUAUUGGUGUUAACUCUUGCUCCUAUUUAUGCUAGUAUAGUGCUUGAAUGAAAAUGUUAUUUAAAUUAACAUCAUAUUUUUUAUUACACAAAAAUGACUCACCCCAUCUUCUCGAGAUUAACUGAACUUGUGAUCUCUAAUAAUUUAUAACCUACCACAUUGUAGUUGUUGGAGUAUACUCCCUCUGUCCCGGUUUUAGCACGAGUUUUAAUAAAUUGGUUGAUUGUAUUAUGAGUAGAAUAAGGAUAAUAUUUUUUAUGGAAGUGUUAAAAUAAUUAAAAUUGAGAAAAUGUUUCACCUAUUUUUAUUAAAAAUAGAAAUGAAUUUUAAAAUAUGGGACGACGGCCAGAAAAAGAAAAUAUAUAUGGAUACUAAAAGUUGGGACGGAGUGAGUAUUAUCUAUAGUGGUAUCUAUUGUAUGAGUACAAGAGAUUUACUUGACUUGUUGAGGUAUGGAGAGAUUAUUACAAACCACGUGAAAUUGAGUUCUUGCUCCCACUGUAAAAGCAAUAAAUAUAGGGAAAAGAAAAUUAAUACUUCCUUCGUCCAAGAAAUGAGUACACAUAUUUCUUUUUUAGUCCGUUCAUGAAAUGAGUACUCAUUAAUUUUUCUUUUUAUCAAGUGUACCUCACACAACCCUUUAAUUAAUUAAUACCUUUAAAAAGUGGGUCCCUUAUUCCACUAACACCACACUCAAUCAUUUCUUAAAACCUGUAACGUCCCCAAAUGAGAUUCAUUUCGUGGAUUGAGUAAAUUCUAUACUACAAAUUAAUGGUUCGAAUUCACUUUAAAAAAUAAACUACAAUUAAGAGUCCCUCUCUUAAUUGGAAUUCAUAGACCAUCUGCUUCAGUCGUGCCCGAAGACAGAAAAGGUUUGGAUUGGAAUUCAUAGGUGGCUAGGGAAUAAAAGCAGUGUGGCCUCAAUCAUUGAAGCACACUUCGAUUUGUUCACAAAUCUUGACAAAGGAAAGGAAGGUCGAUUUUUCUAGCGACAGUAUGGGUCUAUACCAUUUGGUUGCUGUGGAAAUGACGUAACGAGAGCAGAUUUGAGGGCAAGACUUGGGAGAUCAAUGACGUGAUCGAAGAAGUGAAAGUGAGGAUGUGGAGUUGGAACAAGAUUUUUGGACUACAUGUUAAAGAGAUUAGCUCUCAAUCUUGGUUUUCUUGUGAAACUCCUCUUGUUUUGUGUAAUUUGGUCGUAUCUCUGGUACCAAACUCUCUCCUAAUAAAAUUUCUUUUCUGAUUAAAAAAAAAAAAAAGAGUCCCUCUCUUAAUCAAGUAGACUGGAUGCGGUAAGAGAGAAAUCACUUCCAACUUAUCGAUUUUACUAGCAACAACUAGAUUUAUACUGAAGCUAAAUUGGAUCAGACUCUAGGAUUCACUAGUCUUUUACUCAAGGUGAGUCGGUUUACGAGUCUCAAACUCAAGGUGAACUAGAAUGUCUGUCAAUACGAACGUUGGGAGUUCGAGGGUUUUUUAGGACAGUAACUUAGAUUGAUUUGGAAAUUAGGACAAUAACUUUCGGACUUGUAAAAAUAGGACUCUAAUUCUUUUUAAGAGUAAAAUAGGACACUAAUUAAUAAGUGUUACAUCCGCAGGACAUUUUUCGGCCAAUUAUCGGCCGAGAAAUGUCCUACUUUUACGACGCUUAUUAAUUAGUGUCCUAUUUUUACAAAUUCGAAAGUUUUGUCUUAAUUUUCAAAUCAACAUAAGUUAUUGUCCUAAAAAAUCCCCUGACUCCGAACGUUGGAACAAGCUCGGCAAUAUACUGCUAUUCAACAUUAAUGGCACUUUGCACUAAAUGAAUUGGUGUCGAAUUAAUACAUCGUCUUGCUGCUCAUAUCUAUAUAAUAAAUGCAUACCUGCACCUCGAUAUUAAUCAAUUUAGAUACACUAAAUCUCGGAUAUACUUAACAAAUGGAUUAAUAAAUGUAUAAAUUUUAGAUUUCAGAAAAUCAAAUACAGGUGUUCAUAAGGAAAUGAUUAAAAACCCGUGUGUCAUUUAGAUAAGAUUAUUAUAGUACAGUUAACGAUGGUGAAAUAUUCUUUUACAUUAGAUAUAAUAGCAUUCCAGAUCUCAAUGGCAUUUUUUGUUAUAACAAAAAAAAAUUGUAUAUGUUCCAUACUAUCCUCAAACUUCAAAUUAUUAUUUUUCUUUAUUUUAAAAUUUGUAUUGGCACAUAUCUGUCAAUUAAUCAAAUUCAUAUCAAAACAAUAAUUCGAAUGAUAUAUUAGUUGGCUAGCUAUAAAUUACAAAUUAUUAGUGAUUAGGCAUGUUUUACACAAAUUAUUAGCCCAAACAACAUUUGAUUGUGUGCAAUGCACACACUUACUAAAAGCAGAUGUGAUCAUCUGUCCCACAAUUUAGUGUGUAUCACCGUGUACCAUUCUUAAUUUGUCUAUUUUAUAAUUAUUUGUUGUAAAAAUAAAAAAAAUAUUGUUAUAUUAUGAACUCUAAUUAAAAUUUAUAACUAAAAAUAAAAAUUAAAAAAAAUUAUAUACCCUAACUUUGAAUUAAUUAACCCAAAUAAUCAAUUAUUAAUUCAAAUAAAUAUAAAAAAUAAUUAUAAACUCUAAUUGAAUGAGUGAACCCUUAUUAAUUAGUUUCUUAUUAUAUUAUAAUAAAUUAAAAUUGAAGAAAAUAUAAUUAUAUAUUAUAAUAAAUUAAGAGUGGUACACGGUGGUACACACUAAAUUGUGGGACAGAUCCAUGUGCACUAAAUUAUAGGUACGGAGGUGCGGAUGCGGGGGCGAUACGAUACGAGUACGGGGAUACGGGUUCUAAAAAAUUAUAGGGUGCGAUUCGGCAAGGAUACAUCUAAUUAUUAAAAUUUUAUGAUAUACUAAUUGUUAGAAAUGGAUAUUGGGCCAAUUCCUCCCUUAAAAGGCCUUAUAAGGGAGAGGGUUACCUCACCAUAUAAAGUGGCUCAUGCCACUAUCUCCAAUCCAAUGUGGGACACUUCAAUACUAAUGCUUAUAAAAUAUAUACAAUUUAAAUUUUCUUAAAUUAAUUAUAUGUAAUUUACAUUUUAUUUUACCCAAAAGUUAAGCAUUUUCAAUUAUAUAAGUUAAUUGAGCAACAAUAUAACGAUUCAAAUAUUAUUAGUCCAAUAUAUAAGUCAUAACUGAAAAUAAAAUUAUCAAAAUAACCUUGUGUAGGCCUUUCGUGCACGAGAUACGUGAAUUUCGCCUAUGGAAUUUGCAAAUCCGGUUUAUUUUUAUAAAUUGUUUUAAAAGAUACGCACUGGUGAAUCGGUGCGAAUCCGACAAGAAUUCGAGAAAUCACACCCUAAAAGAAUCCGAUUCGCCGUACAUCUAAUUUUUGAAGAAUCCGUGCAUCAUAGGUGAGAAGAAACACAAGAGAGUAAAAUGGUACAUAAUGUAGAAAGACUUUUCUCCAAAAUAAAUGUUACAGUCUUCUAAUAGUCGAAAGGCGCAUGAAAAUGCGCAGUUAUUCGAAAGAAAGGAAAGGCUUAUUCAGCCACACAAUGACAUGGAAUUCGAAUUGAAAUUGAAAUUCAGACAAAUCCCAAACACGGUGAUGCAGAGAUCAAGCGGUAACACGAGGAAUGAUCUUAAUACCACCGAUGGUAACUUCGUCGCCGUUAAUGUGGGGAACGAUGGUGACGACAAUGAAAUCAUCAUCAGCAAUAUUGAUGUUCUCAUAGAGCUCCCUCAAGUUCAAGCGAAGGUCGUUGGCGCUUUCCGCAGCCCUAACCCUAUGCGGAAUCUGCGUGAAACUGCCGGCGAACUCGGCCCUGGCGAGGUCCUCUGGCUUGUCGUCUUCGUCAUUCACGAACACAUCGAACCUCACGAGCUUCGAACUAUCGGUGAUUAUGUUCUCCAGCACGAGCACUUCGUCGGCUUUGCCUUUGGUUGGUUUGGGCACCAAAACCCUGUGAGUCUUGUUGAGAGUGAGAGGGAACAGAUUGUCUCCACUCUCUGCCCUCUUGGAGAGAUCUUCGAUAUUCACCGGCACCUCCCUCCGCGGUGGCCGGUAGGCUGUCCACGGAGUUUCGCUGUGUUCAUACACGUAUCCCAUUUUGGUGUGGUCCAAGCAGUCGGCCACCUUGACGCGCACGAGGUUCUUCUUCUCGUCGUAGAACAUGAACGCCGCGUUGUUGAAAUCGUCGGGGUUGGGGACGACGAGGUCGUUGAUAUCCUUGGGGAAAACGGAUGGGAUAGUUUUCCAUAUGGUCCACAUUCUGUCGACGUUAGCGUGAUGUGCGUAGAAGAGAGGGUCUCUUCCGGCGGAGUAGAAGUUCCCCAUGUCUUCGCGGAAAUCGUUGGCGGGGUUUCCGGUCCAGACGUGGACGCCGCCGUGUGAGCCGCCCUCCGACAAUCCUCCCUUGGCGCGUGGCGGGGGCAAGUCCCCGGAAACGUAAGGAUCGCCCAUGAAGUCGAUGGCGGAUUCGACAUCACCAAUCAUUUCCUUGUACAUCUGAGUGAGAUUGUUUUCGAUGAUCGUUACAGGAUCGGUGAUCGGGGGGGUGGUUAUGGCAAGAGCAACGAGGGCCGGGGGGCGAUGCGUUGGGUCGCGGUUGACGUCGUAGAGCGGGGAUUCUUCCCUGUCGAACGGCCUGGGCAUCUGCAUACCCCUAGGGUUGUCCCAGUUCCAGUAGGGCAGGGCGAAAUCGGGAUCUCCGAUGAGUUCGCCCAUGAUCCUCUCGAAGAAAUAGAGGUACCACCUGUGGAAGGGGUGGAUCCAGAAUUUGUCAUUAGGAGGGACUAAAUUUGUUGAAGCAUGACGUCUCAAAUUAUUAGCCAAUUUUUUUUAGCAUUCCAUACAGUUCAUUUUUUUGUCGAACUACAUUCGAUUAAUUCAACAACAAGAACAUUGAAAGCAUAUAAAUACUUACCUCUCAAAAAUUGUUUCAUCUUCUAAGAAGAUAAGCUAAUUUUCAUCAUGGCAGUUCAUAAUUUUAAUUUAACUUGAGGAUUGACUCAAAUUCAACACUGAGAAUCAACUAAGAAAGGAAAGUAGACAAAAAUAACAUAAAUUUAACAAACUAACAUAUCAAAUUUAAAUCACUAUAAAAUAUUAAACAGUUAAAACGUGGAUACUAUAAUUAAUAAAACAAUGUAUUUUAUUAUCUCUUGUAUUUCUUAUCUAUACUAAUAGAAAAAGAGUCUAAGACAGUCUAAGGCACAACUUGUGGAUUGCCUAUUUUACCCUUAUUAUAUAUUUAUUAUUAUAUUUACAAAAUAUAAAUCUAUUUUGAUAAAUAUUUAUUUGUCACUCAAAUCUAUAAAGAAUACUUUAUAUCUAUAGCUAUUGAUAAGGCUUAUAAAUAAAUAUAUUCAUCCACAACGUACGUUCUUUCUGCUAGUAUAUAAUAAAAACAAAAACAAAAAACUCAAAAUUUGGGAGGCGGUCGAUCCGCUGCUAACCUGUGGAAAGGGAAGAAGAUCCAUGAGUUGUGAACCUGGAUAUCGAUGCCGGGGUGGUCCACCUGGUCGUAGGGGCCGUUGCAGUAAGCGCAGUGGAUGUUGGCCUGCUGAGUGAAGCCACGGGGAUCGUCGGGGUCCGUCACGUCCAGUUCCUUCAUCUUCUGGAUGGCCAACUCAUACUUGCGUACGUAUUCCGGUGUCAGCCUGUGCGCCGCCGGCCUAACGCGAGGUUUAGUGAACCUCGGAAGCUUGUAGUCGCUCUGAACGUCGGUGUAGGGCGGGCAGCAGUUGACGUCUAGAGAUAUUACCUCUUGGUUUCGAGUGGUGUAGGCACCUUCGGGGUCGCAGGUGCUCAGGUCAGGAGGCAAAAUCGGAAGCGCCUCAGCUUUGCGGAUGGCGCUGCCUGCGCCGUAUAGACCGCCCAGCCCAAGCAGCAUGUUUCUGCGGUCUAUACGGCCGCUGCCACCGCCACCGCUGCUGCAUGACACCUGAAAGCGGCCGUGGCUCCGCCGGCUGCUGAGCUGGGAGGGCUUGCGAAAUGGGGAGUUGGUGGCGGCGGCGAUCGCCGUGAAUGAAGAUUGAAGGGAAGCCAUGUUUGAGUGAUUGAUUGAUGGUCGUUGUGAUUACCUGGGGAGGCAUGUCUUUAUAUAGCAGAUGUGACACGAGUUUUAAGAAAAAUAAAUUAUCCGUUGAAUAAUUAAAUCGCCAUGUUUCUAUAAUUUAUUCCUAAUGGAUCUAGUCAAACUAAUCGUGCAAUAUUUAAUAAACCACGCAGCAUCAUUUCCGAGACUAAUAAAUGACAUUUUGAACCAGCUAAUCAAUUCCAUAUAAUUAACCAUUUGCGAGGCUGGCUGCCCUUCACUAAAUGGUUGUAUGCACUUGUCUUUGGAAAAGCUGUUUGGCCAUAUUAUGGCCAGUCAUAAUAUGGGAAAAUAUUAUAAAAGUCAUGUAUUUAAUUUUUUAUAUUUAAAAUAAAAAUAGGAUUUUAUUAGUUUUAUUUUUUAUUACAUAUUUUAGCUAUUUUUUUUUAUAAUUUUUCUGAAUUUUUUAGAAAAAUAAAAAAUAAAAUUACAAUGUGAACAAAAUUAUAAAACUAAUAAUGGUAGAGCAGCGGAGGGCACAGGUGAAGGGCAUGGCGGCGGUGUACUUAUUUUAGUCAAGUAAUUAUUAUUGCACGAAAAAAUAAUUAUUAAUAUAAAGAAAGAUAAUGUUUCAAAGACAUUAUCUUUCUUCAUGUCUAUUAAUUUUUCAUCACAAUAAUAAUUACUUCGAAUUAUCCGUGUUUUCAAUCGUGCGACCUGCACCCAGCCCGACCCGACCCGUUUCACCCAUAUAGUCAGUCUCACCCAAGUUUUUGCCUAAAGAUAAGUAUUAAUUAGUUGUGUAUGGUGAUAUGAGUCUUGUUUGUAUAAAUUAGUAGGCCUUUAAUAAUGAAUUGGCCCAUCUCAGGUGGUUUAUAUAAUUUACUCGUAUGGAUCUAAAUACAACUAAUCAUGAAAUAUUUAAUAUACCACGGAGCAUCUUUCUGAUAUACUAUUUAUAUAGUAAUUUAUUCCUAAUGGAUCUAAUCUCUGACUAUUUAAUAAUUAACUCGCCAUCGUUUAAAUAAUUUACUCCUUAUGGAUACACUCAAAGUAAUCGUGCAAUAUUUAAUAUACCACGCAGCAUCAUUUCUCAUACAAUAUUUUGGACCAUCUAACCAAUUACAUAUAAUUAAACCUUUUGCCAGGGUGGCUGUCCCUUCCACUAUAUGGUUGCAUGUAUUGAAUUGAAAUUUUAUUGAGGAAAAAAUGAAAAGAAAAACUAGGAAUUCAUUGAUAGCACGAAGACGCUAAUUAAGGGCUGAGCCUCAUCAAAACCUUUCCGAUAAAAAUCCAGUGAAAAAAACCACCAGCAAAGGAAAAAGAGUACCAGUCUAUUACAAUAAAAAAAUGAAGAACAAACUCAAGACAGGAACAACGAGAAGCACGAGAGGAUGAUAAAACAUCUAACCCGAAAAAAAAGACCCAAACCAAAGGAGCCUGACAAAUCCGGAGCCAGUACCAGCGCACCAGGAAACUGAAAAAGUUCUGGAGAAGCCACUUCGACCCAAGCACGCCAACCAUCCAAAAGAAACGACUACCACACCCACACCUAGGCCAAGAAAUAUAUAAUAUUGUGAAUAGUUCCCAUGGGAUCGAAACAGACCACCAAAACAAGAAAAAACCUCUAAGAGCAGACUACUCAUUGCCUGCCUGCCUAGUAUUCGAUGAAAUACCCAAACCAGAAAUCAUAGCAUAAAGCAAAAACCGCCACAGCUGGGGAGCGAAGAGCAGAAGGCCACCAAUAAGAUACAUUAGGAUUGCGCAAAGUCUGACAAAGAAAUCAGAAAACUUACCAGACCACUCUAGUUAAUGUAAUCUAUACAUGUCCGCACAUGAAAUUUGGUCAAGUUAGAUACACUAAUCUCAAAUCUAUUUAAUUAACAAAUUGAUUGAUUGAUAUUUUUUUCUGAGAGAAAUUGAUUGAAUAAUUUUUAGACUUCAAAAACUAAUAGUUAAUUGAUUGUUUAGAUAAGAUUAUUAUUACACUUUUAUAUAGAGAUAAUUAGUACUUGAGAUAUGUGCAAUUUACGCAUUCUUCUCUCGAGACAAAAUAAAUAUUAUUGACCAUUGAGAACUCUGCUACCACUACUCCAGUUCUAUUUAUUAUCAGUGUGCCCUCUCGCGCGCUGCACGGGUCACAACAUAUUUGAUUAUUUAAUUUUAGCUGUUUACGCAUACUUCGCUCGAGACAAAAAUAAAAUAAGAUUUAUUGAUCAUUGAGAACUCAGUACCACACCAUACUCGUGUAUACUAUAAUAUUUAUCAUUGUUUAUGAUUAUUACGUGUCUUCGCCGAUAAAUUUAAUAUUCAUUCCUUUAAUUUUUUUCUAUUGACAUUGGAAACUGUCUUGAUUCUUUUUUGGCCAUAUCAUAUAUUUAAAAAAUUGGGAGGGGAACGUGGAAGUUGAAUCUGAAAUAAGAAUCAAAUGAUACAUGUGUACUUUCAAAGAUAAAACGCAAAAUAUAUCAUUUUUUUGUAAAACAUAUAAAUUCUACUAUUUAUGAUUAUUUUAAAUUUAUAUAAUCUAUAUUUGUAUGUAUAUAUAUUCUCCAUUUGUUCAUGAAAAAGAGUCUCAUUGUAUGCUGAAUACGAGUUUUAAUAAAAUGGUUGUAAGUGUGAAAUAAAUGUAUAAUUUGUAAGAGUCUUUACAUUAGAUUAUAUUUUACUCUCUUCGUCCUAUUGAUAAUGACUCACUUUUCUUUUUCGUCUGUCUCAUUGAUAAUUGCAUGUUCCAAAAAAACUGAAACCAUUUGACCUCACAAAAUGUUGUGGGCUCCACUACUUUUUAUCACUUUUAUCCUUUAAUUACUAUUCUUAUUAAUAACCGUGUCGAACAGUAAUGAACUAUUAUCAAUGGGAGGGAGGGAGUAAUAUUUUAAUUUUGUUUGCUGCCACCACCACCACCACCACCACAAUUUAAAAAAAAAAAUCUACGUGAAUAUAGUAAUUAUUAGAACAAAAAAAUAACUAUAAUAAUAAUAUAUUAAUCCGUUAAUUAUCUAUACUAAUAUAAAAAGUGCAUUUGGCACAAAAUAUAUAUUGCCUGUUAUAUCCCUAUUAUAGUAUUUUAUUUGAAGGACAACUUUGUAAAUUAUAUAUUAUAUAUUUAUAAGAAUAUAUUAUUUCAUUAGAUAUUACACUAAAUAUAUUUGAUAUAUAUCUAGAUCUUAUGCUAUAAUUUUUUUUAUAUUAAUUAAUUAUUAUAUAUUGUGAUUUAAUAGAAUUAUACAACUCUAAUAAUUUAUAAAUGUAAAGUUCAGGGAUUGCAUGCAAUGCACACAUUCUAUGCUAGAAAAAAAAUAGAAUUCACUAAGCCGAUGAUAAAUAACACAUACAACGUACUAUUUCUGCUAGUAAAUUAAAAAUCUAUAUGAUUUUAUCUUCUAUCACUACAUUAAUUAAAAUCUAUCUUCCGUUUCAUAUUAACGGUGGUUUUUCAAUAUUUUUUAUAUUAAUUACUACAUAUUGUGAAUUUAUUACAAUUGUUAACCUCUAACAAUUCAUUAAUAUAAAGUUGAUGGAUUGUGUGUCAUGCACAAACUCUCCUGUACUCAUCUAAAAGACUCUAUAUGUGAGAAGAAACCGCAGGAGAGUAAAAUGGUACAUAACAUAGAAUAGAAAGACUUUCACAAAAUAAAUGUUACAUUCUUCCCGUAGUCGGAAGGAGCAUGAAAAUGCGCGGUUAUUCGCAAGAAAGAAAGGCUCACUCAGCCACACAAAACAUGGAAAUCCUAAACACGGUGAUGCAGAGAUCAAGCGGUAACACGCGGGAUGAUCUUAAUACCACCGAUGGUAACAUCGUCGCCAUUAAUGUGGGGAACGAUAGUGACGACAAUGAAAUCAUCAUCAGCAAUAUUAAUGUUCUCAUAGAGUUCCUUCAGGUUCAAGUGAAGGUCGUUGGAGCUUUCCGUGGCCCUAACCCUGUGCGGAAUCUGCGUGAAGCACCCGGCGUACUCGGCCCUAUCGAGCUUCUGUGGCGUGUCGUCUGCAUCAUUCACGAACACAUCGAACCUCACGAGCUUCAAGCUAUCGCAGAUUAUGUCCUCCAGCACCAGCACUUCGUCGGCUUUGCCUUUGGUUGGUUUGGGCACCACAACCCUAUGAGGCUUAUUGAGAGUGAGAGGGAACACAUUGUCUCCGGUCUCCGCCGUCUUGGCGAGAUCUUCGGUAUUGACCGGUUCCGGCCGCUGAGGUGGCCGGCAGGUCAUCCAUGGUGUAUGGCUAUAUUCAUACUCGUAUCCCAUUUUUGUGUGGUCCAAGCAGUCGGCGACCUUAACGCGCACCAGCUUCCUCUUCUCGUUGUAGAACAUGAAGGAGGCGUUGUUGAAGUCGUCGGGGUUGGGGACGACGAGCUCGUUGAUAUCCUUCGGGAAAACGGAUGGGAUCGUUUUCCAUAUAGUCCACAUUCUGUCGACGUUAGCGUGAUGUGCGUAGAAGAGAGGGUCUCUUCCGGCGGAGUAGAAGUUCCCCAUGUCUUCGCGGAAAUUGUUGGCGGGGUUUCCGGUCCAGACAGCCGCCCUCCGACAAUCCUCCCUUGGAGCGUGGCGGGGGCAAGUCUCCGUCAACGUAAGGCUCGCCCAUGAAGUUGGUAGCGGAUUCGACAUCACCAACCAUUUCCUUGUACAGCUGAUUGAGGUUGUUGGAGAUGAUCUGUACGGGAUCGGUGAUCGGGGGGUUGGUUAGGGCAAGAGAAACGAUGGCCGGGGGCCGAUGCGUCGGGUCGCGGUUGACGUCGUAGAGUGGCGACGCGUCCCUGUCGAACAUCGAGGGCAUCUGCAUGCCCCUAGGGUUGUCCCAGUUCCAGUAGGGCAGGGCGAAAUCGAGAUCUCCGAUGAAUUCGCCCAUGAUUCUCUCGAAGAAAUAGAGGUACCACCUGUGUAGGGAUGAAUCCAGAAUUUGUCGUUAGGGGGGCUAAAUCUAAAAGUAUUUGCAGUGGGGGCUCCCGUCCGCAAGACAAUUUUUUUUAACCAUUCCGUAUAGAUUUAAUUGGCUUAACAUUAGAAAUCAGUCACUUACUAUAAAAAAUAGUUGUUCGCAUUCCAUUAAUUCAACAACAAGUACAUUUAAAGCAUAUACAAACCUACCUCUGUGCAAUUUUUUAAAAUAUUAUUUCGACUUCUAAAAGAAUAAACUAAUUUUCAUUGUUAAUUAAUAGUUCAAAAUUUUAGUUUAUCUUGAAGAUUAACUCAAAUUAAAUAUUCAAUAUUACCUAAUUAAACAAAAAUGAGACAAAAAUAACACAAAUUUUUAACAAACUAACCUAGCAAAUCACUGUAAAAUGUUAAGCAAUUCUUUCUUGUAUUUCUUCUAUAUAUUAAAAACAAAAAAAUUAGGGAGGGGGCUUCAGCCCCCGUGGAUCCGCCACUAACCUGUGGAAGGGGAAGAAGAUCCAUGAGUUGUGAACCUGGAUAUCGAUGCCGGGGUGGUCCACCUGGUCGUAGGGGCCGUUGCAGUAAGCGCAGUGGACGUUGGCCUGCUGAGUGAAGCCGCGGGGAUCGUUGGGGUCCGUCACGUCCAGAUCCUUCAUCAUCUGGAUGGCUUUCUCGUACUUGGCUAUGUAUUCCGGUGUCAGCCUGUGCGCCGCCGGCCUCCUGCGAAGCUUUGUGAACGUCGGAAGCGUGUACUCUUCCUCGUCGUCCGUGUAGGGCGGGCAGCAGUUGGCGUCUAGAGAUAUUAUCUCCCCGUUUCUAGAAGUAUAGGCACCUUUGGGAUCACACUUGCUCAGGUCAGGAGGUGAAAUCGGAACCGCCUCAGCUUUGCGGAUGAGGCCGCUUGCGCCGUAUAGACCACCCAGACCAAGCAGCAUGUUUCUGCGGUCUACACGGCCGCCGCCGCCUCCAUCACUGCUGCACGACACCUCAAAGCGGCGCCUCCGCCUGCUGGCGAGCUGGGAGGUGGUGCGGAGGUUGGGGUUGGUCGUGGUCGCCAUCACCAUGAAUGAAGAUUGAAGGGAAGCCAUGCUUGAUUGAUUGAUGCUUGCAUUGCGCUCGAGGCAUGCAUGUCUAUAUAUAGUAGGCGUGGACACGAGUUUUAAGAAAAAUAAUGAUACUUAAUGGGAUUAUUUUCGAAAAUGAAUUAGGAAGAUGUUUUGGAGACGAAAAUAGAAAAUUGACCUUUUGCCAGGCUGCCCUUUCACUAAAUGGUUGUAUGCACUUAUCUUUUUUUUAUCUAUAAAGAGGUAUUUUCUCCAUUUAAAAAACUUAUCGAGGUAAUUAUGAAGACUAUUCAUUUUUAUCGUUGUAAAGUUAAUUAAAUUAUAAAAAUUAAAGUUGAUAAAGUUCUUAUUAAACAUCAUCGCUCUUCUGUCUUUGGACGACAAAAUUAAUUAUUUCAAAUAGAUAAAGAACUUGAUUUUCCGAUAUGGCUUCUCAUACUAAUUAAAUAAUCUAAUCCUAUAAUGUAUUUCAUAUAAAGUUAUCAAAUUAACAAUAUUCUGUGUGAAUUUUUUUGCCUUGAGUGUGUGUAUAGAGGUAGUCAGGGCCGGCCCUGAGGGUGGGCGGGCAUGGGCGACGGCCCAGGGCCCCAAAAAUUUGAGGGCCCAAAAUUUUUAAUAUAUCCUAUUAAUUAUAGAUCUUAUGUAUACUAACAACAUAGUUCAUCUAUUGAUUUUGGGCCCAACAUAAUUUAUUCUCAAAUUUAGAUCUAUACUUAAUAUAGAGAGUUUUCAAUUUGAAAUCAAUUUCAAAGUAAUUUCAAAAUUGAGUGACUAUUUUGUAGUUAUAAUAUUAAUAAAAUUGAAGGUUUAUGUUUAAACUAUAUAUUUUUAUUUUUAUUUUUAUUUUCAUUUUCAUUUUCUUUAACUUCUUAUUUGUUGUUACAUUUCUUUCCAAAAUUGUGAAAUUCAAUUAAUUAUAAAAUAUUUAAUAUGCAUAUCAAAUUAAAGAUCACAAUAAGAGUUUUAAUAUGAUAUAUUUUAUGAAAAAUAUUUGAUUUAAAAUGUAAAAUUUAUGCAUGUUCAAAUAUUAAAGUUUUAUAAAUUUCUCUCACCUCUCUCAUCUUUACGAAUAAAUAUAUUUUUAAUUCUUUUAAAUUAGUAUUUUAUUUUUAAUUUUUUUAACUUAUUUUUUUGUUUUUGUAUUUCAUAAUAUCAAAUUUUAUAAUUGUGAAUUCUUUUUUUAUUUUUUUUAAUAUUCAAUUCAAAUAUAUAUAAUUAAAAUUAAUUUUUUAUUAUAUUUAUAAGUAUAAUAAUUAAAUUAGUAUUAAUUUUAUAUAAAUAGUAAAAACAAAAAAUAUUUCCCGUGCAUGAGAUGCAAAUGGUAGUUGCACCUCGCCGCCGGUAAUAUAUUUAAGUAUAUAAAUUAAUUAAUAUUAACAAGGCGCCCGGUGAUCACCGGAGGCAUCCUUGCCGCUGGUAUUUCUGCCGCUACUUUGAAAAAUACGGCCGUCGGUAAAUCUGGCCGCAAAUUGUGUACGUUUUUUGGUAGUGGUAAUAUAUUAGGGCCCAAUUUUUUAAUUUCGCCCAGGGCCUCAGUUUUGUCAGGACCGGCCCUGGAGGUAGUUAUAGAAUUUAUCUUUUGUGUUCUCAAAGGAACUUAAUUAAGAUCCAAUGUGAUUGAUACAUUUCGACUAAAUGGAUGGGCAAGAUUCUUUUAACGCCCAAUAUUAAUUCCAUCUCAAAUCGGAUCUUAUAUAAUACUGUAUUUUAUAUAUUCUAUAAUGCAUUUUAUAUAUUACGUGUCUAUUAAAUUAACAUUGAUCUUAGGAGUGAUACAAGUUUAAAAAAAAGCUAGCUGUAUAUUUGGUGAGUAGAGAAGGGAUUUCAGAAAUUAGAAAAAAUGGUGAUAGGUAGUGGAAUUAUUUUAAAAAAUGGACUAAAAAGAUGUUUCAUGAACGAACGAAAAUGGCAAAAUAGGAAGAUGAGUCGUGGUCGGAGGAAAUAUUAUAAUGCAUCGUAUCCUUUUUUGGUUCGUAUAAAGAUUUUUAUUUGAUCCUCAUCGAGAACAUGCAUAUUGCGAAUACUUAAUUUAUUUCAAUAUAUAUAUAUUAAUUUAUUGGGAGCAUAUGCUAAAUAAAUUAAAUUAAUCCGAAUCAAAAGCGCUUAAUUAUCACUACAUUACAUGCAUUAUGACAAAAAGCCUGCGGCUAAAGAUCUUCAGUUUAAGUCUAUUGUCAUAUUGUUUUUAAAAUAUUAUUUAUCCAUUCCGCAUAUGGAUUGGUCAGAUUUAGAUACACAAAUCUCAAAUGUAUUUAAUUAACAAAUUGAUUGAUAAAUUUUAGAAUUCAAAAAUUAAAUCAAUCAAAUACGCGUGUCCACAGUCAAUGGAUUGAAAAUAUGCAGGUAUCUAGAUAAGAUAUAUUAUUAUUAUUAUUACACUGUUAACUAUACUGCAGUACACUUUUAUAUAUACAGACAUAAUUAAAAUAUGCAGGUAUCUAGAUAAUAAGAUUAUUAUUACACUAUUAACUAUACUGCAGUACACUUUUAUAUAGAGAUAAUUACUAGAGAUAUGUGCUAUUACCCAUACUUCGCUCGAGACAGAAAUAAAUACGAUUGACCAUUCAAUUAAACACUACGACACCAUACUCGUGCAUGUACUAACGAUCUUAUUAUAAGUGCACCUUCCCGUGCGAUGCACAGGUCAGUAGAAUUGUAAUCGAUAUUGAUGUGAAUAUCAUCAUAUUCGAUUCGUAUUUGUGAAAAUACUCUAAUAUUUGAUUCAGCAUUCGAUUCGAUCACGAAUACUAAAUACGAUCCCAUAUUCGAUUCGAUGUUAUUUUUGAAUUAUUUGAUACAUUUUUUAAAAUUAAUUAAAUAAUUUUUUUACGAAUAUUCGAUUCGUUUUCCAUCAUAUUCAAUUCAAAACUAUUCGAUUUGAAAUUCUGAAGGAAAAAAUAUGUUAAAUAAUAUUCUAAAAAAUAUAGGAUUAUAUCCAAUAUAUUUACCUAAUAAUUAAACACACAAUAAUAAAGUGUUCAAUUCAUAUUGUUUUAUGUCCCGUGGUUUGUUUCUAGGAUUGUGGUAAUAAAGACUGAUUGGAUCAGUCUAGUACAGUUGUUGUUUGAAUUUGUAAUUUUGUGUAACGGCAUUGUCAUCUUGUUGAGAUUAAUAGGAGUUAAUUUGUUUAAUUAAUUAUUCAUGAGUUUCUUAUAAGAUACCUUCCUUCGUUCCGUAAAAAUAGUCAUAAUUUUUCAUUUUAGAACGUCCAUAAAAAAAUAGUGUUAUUCCAUUUAUAAACAAUUUAGAUCCUUACCUUUGGGAUGAGAUAAAAUGAAAUUCCAUUUUAAAUCAUAAACUAGCUAUAUAGGAAGCAUUUUCAGCUCUUGAAUUCAUCUGUUGUUCGAAUUUCAUAGGAAGCAAGUUUUUUUGACUCAUUAUUUUCACAGCGAAUUCAUCAUGUUACACAUACCCUAAAGUGAUAUAUUUACCCUAUUUGAUAACAUGAUAAGUAUAUUUGAAGCGCUCACUAUUUUAUUUGAACUUUAUUAUCGAGUUUAAACGAGUUUUGAAAUAUUGAAUUAAAUUGAAAUAUCCAUGUUGAUCGUUUAAGAAGCAAAUUUUUGGCAUGGGUUUAUAAAAAAUACAUCCUAGCCUCCAUCCCUAAUAAGUGCGGUGUGAAGGAGUGGGCAAUAGUUCUUUAAAAAUAAUUGAGAGAUGUGUAUAAAGUGGAUAAAAUGGCUUACUAGAGCUGAUUUGUUAGGCCUUACUUUCUCUCUGCCCCACUAAAAUAAGCUCAAUUCUUUUGAGAACAUAGAUUAAUAAACUUUCUUUUGAGAAGAAAAUUAAAGUGGUGGCAAAAGUAAUGUGGUCCAUACCAAUUAAGCAAUUUGAGUACAUUUUUUUUUUCACUCAAAAGGAAAACGAGCCUAUUCUAGCGGGACAUUCCAAAAUAGAAAACGAGCAUAUUCUGCUGGGACGAGGGAAUAAUAAAUUGUUUGUGAGAUGAGUAGUUUGUAAAUAUUGUGUGUGAAAGGUGUAUGUCUUAAAUUGAAAAGACCAUACCUGUAUUGUGAUUGUACGGAAAGGUGGAACUGAGCAUCGCGGCGGCGGCGAGGCAGGAGGCGGCGGUGGUGAGGAGAAUCGAGAGAGAGAGAGAAAGAUGCCAGCAGACAGUGACGGAGGGCAGUGGGCGGCCCUUGGCGGCAGCGGAGACGACAAGGUACUGGCUGUGCCAGAAUUAUUUAGUUGCAUAGGAUCCUUCCAAAUGUAAUUACUGAUUCACUGUUGGAUUAACAAGAAUUAAAUUACUUCAUAAUACAGUAUUCCAACUGUUCGAUAAAAGCCCUUAAUGAAAUCUUCCAUAGAUUACUUUGCAAAGUUCAUAAAAUUACUCAAAAGCAUUGUUGCAUAGUCCGUACAUAGAGAUGGUCGAUUAUCUUAAUUAUGUCUAGAUUUAUUUACGACACACACACACACACAUCACAAAAUCACACAUACUGACUAAUAAGGUUCCCGAAAGCCGGCAUUAUUAGGCGCCAUGGUGGCCGUGAAAUACCAUGAGACGAUAUCAUGGGUGGUGGGUCCGUCUAGUCUGGUGGCGGCGGAGAGCCCUACCUGAACCUGCUAAGGAAGAAAGCCGCUCAAAUCAUACUCAUAGCUGACUUCAAACGUCUUCGAGCCGGCGGUGGCACGGACGGCGAUCUACUUUGUGGAGGCGGCGUAGUUGAUCCUCGCCGUCACCUGCUGCUCGAGUAUGGAGCCGUCGACCUCCGUCGUGUUUCGGGAUGACCUAGACCCGAUGUCGAUGCCGAUGUGGGGAUAGUUCGGAUCCCACGCGCUGUUGACGUAGGUGUCGAACUCGACGGCAAAUACCGAGGGGUUGCUGCCGGAGGAGCCGAAGAUUCCGAGGUUGGCCCCGCUGGAGCCGGUGGGGAUGGUGGAGCGGCGAGAUUGGUGAUGCUGGGUGUGGUGAUGAAGUUUACGGUGGUUUCAAAGUCGACUUGGCCACCGGCUUGGGAGAAUUGGACCGGGUUCGUGUACAAGACCCGGCCGACACUACCGAUCUGCGGUCGCCUUGGUAGGUGAGGUCGGUCGGCUGGUUGUCCCAGAAGUUAUAGGCGAAGGCCGUUGAUCGGGACUUCGCCCUGUUGGUGGCGACGGCGAGAAGAAGGGCGAUGGAGAUUAGGGUUUGGAGAAGGUUGGCCAUGGCUUAGUUGUGCAGUGAAUGAUGUCUACUACUUGCUCCUAUUUAUAAUGAUCGAAAAUAUCUACUACUUACCUACCACAGAUCCACAUCAGGGGCCCUGGAUGGGGUGGUCGACUACAUAAGCCCAAAAAAAUAAGGGCUCGGAAAAUAUAUAGAUCCAUGUAAGUAUUAUAUAUAUGUAUAAAAUAAUUAAAAGCCAACUAAUGAUUGAAUUGAUUAACUUGGCGCAGUGGAAAAAGGACAUUUUUAAUUCCUCUUAAUUACCAAUAUUUUAUUUAGUGACCAAUUUUUUUGUUUAGAUAUAGGGCCCAGCCCCUAUUUUGAUAAAUUAAGUGUAUGUAUUUCAAAUUAACAUUAUUUUAAGUUGUCGAAUUUUUUUGUUAAGAUUUAGGGUCCAGCCCCUAUUUUGUUAAAUUAACUUUAUUUUAAGUGAAUGACAUAAUUAUUAAUAUAUUUAUUAAUUAUUAUGUAAUUUGAUAAAAAAAUGUUUUAAAUAAUUUUAGUUUAUAAUUAAUUUAUUUCUCAAUUAUAAAUAAAUGGCCUAAAUUAAAAAAUUCGCAAAGGGCCUAUGUUCUCUUAGCCCUACCCUUGCACUGUUGCACAUGGUAUAUAUAUCUAUUCUAUGAAUAUAAGUGAUUAUUUUAUAAACCACGUGAAAGCACUUGUUCCCACUAGCACUAUAAAAGCAAUAAAUACAACGGAAAGAAAAUAAAUUACAAUUGAAUACAUUAGGAGAAAAAUUACUUCUAACCUAUGGAAUUACUAACAACGAUACUUAUACCAAAGCUAAAUUGGACCAACUAACUGUACACUCUUGUAUUAUAUCAACCUACCAGACCUUAGUAUUCACGAGUCUCCCACAGUCUAGACUGAUUCACAAUAUAUACCAACAUUGGAACAAGUUCAGUAAUACACUCUAUUUAUAUAUAUUAUUAUAUACACAAAAAUGCAUGGCUGCUGUGGUAUUACGGAAGGAUCGAGAAUUACUCGAUCCUUGGGAAAAGGUUCAAAUGAAACCUUUAUUAUUACUCUCCGUCCCCCAAAUAAUAUCAUAUCCGAUUUGGGAUAUUACCCCACCACUAAUAAUACUUUAUUUAUUCUAACUUCUCAAUCUUUCACCAUUCUCAAUACUAAUUAUAACACAUUUUCAUCACUUUCAAUACUAAUUAUAAUUUCUUUUCUCCACUGCUAAUACGUACACUUAACAAUUUUUCCUUAAAACCAGUGUCGUCCCCUACUAAGAAGUUAUUUGGGGGACGUAGGGAGUAUUUUUUAAUGAUAUGGCAUCCAAAUAUGUUGUGACAAUCCAGUGAGCAAUAUCAACUUUUUGGAGCUGAAAACCGAUGUGAGGUACAACUAAUACACAAUAUGUUGUGGCAAUCCAGUAAUAUACCCUAAGGAUGCGUCAUCUUUUGUUGUAAAUUUAUCAUGGAAAAAUGAGGGAUAAACAAAAUUUCACCCAUUAAAUCCUUCAUUUUUUCCCUCAUUUCUUACAAAAUAGAAUUUGACCCUUACUCAUUUCUCAUUUUCACUGCAAAGGGGGGCUAAUAUUAUCUCUCUAUUUUUGGUAUAAUGAAGAAUUUGAUACGUAAUUACAAUUAAUUAUAAUGAAGUGUGUAUUUUAGUUGCUCAUAUUCUUGGAUUAUUUAUGCUUUAAUGAAACGAUCCACUGCCUUUAACAUUUUGGCAUUUUAAAGUAAACGCCGAAAUGCAACGAUCCACUGCCUUUUAAGUAAACACCCUUGCUAACCCCUGCAUGCGUUUUUUCAUCAAACACUUGGGUUCAUUCUUUUAGGCAUUUUAUCAAACAGUUGUGCUCAGCCUCAUCCUUUUGAUCACAUUCCCAUAUCUCUCCUUAUAUGAAACCGCAUUUUCUAUUUCUCAUAUAUUUCCUAUAUAAUAUUUCCAUCAUUUCUAGCUCAACAAUAAUUCUUCUAGCAAAAUUAUCAUUUCAAAUGCACUCUUUUCCUUUUCUACUUUCUCUUCUGCAUAACAGAAAUACUAAUCCACCAUAAAAUAAUCAUAACUUUUUCUUAAUGAUACGAUGAGGGCACAAAGUUGAGAUGAUAAAAUCAUACAUAUUGGCGAAUGUUGCCGCCGGCUUCCUCUGACUUUUGGAUGCUGAGGGGAGGGGUGGCGGUGAAAUACCAGGAGUUGAUGAUGAAUUUGAUGGUUGUUUCCAUGUCCACCUGCCGCAGAGACCGAGAUACGAUUUUAGAAACAAACGGCAAAAUUACAAUUUCACAUAUAAAAAAUAAAAGACAAUUAAUAAAGCGCAUAAUAUUGGUAAGAUGCUUCCAACCAAUAGGUCGGGAUUGUAUAUCGUGUGAGUGUGUUUUUCAUUUUUUAGUAAUAACAUGUCGUGCUCGGGGCUUUUUUCCGUAUCUGCCCCUGCUUCCCGUCGUCGUGCCCGACUCGUCGGUUUUUGUCAUGCGGAGGUAGGUGGUGGCGUCGGUGAAGUUGGCGUCGCCUUCCAAGCGUAGGCCUUCCGAAUGUGGCGGCUUUUGGUAGAAGUCGUAGGUGAAGGAGACUGCAUCGCCGACCGACACGGUGGCGAGGAGGAGGGCGAUGGAGGAGAGGAGAGGAAUUAAGGUUUGGAGAAGGUUGGCCAAUUUGAUUAAAUGUAUUUGGAUGUAGUGGAUGAUGGUGUAUCGAUCUCUUGCUCCUAUUUAUAGUUGUAAAUAUAUAUUAAUAAUGGUAUCAUUCAAUCAUUAUACUUUAGGCCGGCCGGGCCGGAUCCUCUAUUCCAAAUUCUAUGUCUCAUUGUUCAUAUUCACUAUUAAUUUCACUAUUUCAAUAAUUAAAAAAAUUCAUAGAGUUUGGGGCAGAGGAUCCCGUUUGAAUCCCACAUGGAUCCUCUGUCCCAUAACUUAUUGUGUUCCUUCCCAUUAUUAAUCUCGAUAUUAUAUUUCUACUUUGGAGUUAAUUCAUUAUAAACCCAUGAAAGAUCAGACGAAAUUCAUCCAAUAAACAUUUAUAAAUUUAUAUUUAAAUUUUGUUUCGCGGGUAUCUGAUAGAUAAUAGGUAUUCGUGGGUGGCGAAUUUGGGUAGCAUUUGAUAUUCAUAGAUAGUUUCAUGAUUAAAAUCCAAUAUUCAUUUAGUUCACGGGUAUGGUAUGACAGCCACUAUCUGUGUACGUCAUACCUGAUUGCCAGUAUGACAAAUAUAAAAGUUGUGAGAUGCACAGCAGCUUAAUUAUUCAAAUAGAAAUAUCAUCACAUGUGCAUUGAUAUUUCACAAAAUAAAUACUACUACUAAUAAAUACUCCCUCCGUCCACCAAAGAUAUGCCACUUUACUUUCGGUACGAGUUUUAAUAAAAUGUGAGUGAAGUUGGUAGUGGAGUAAGGGUCCCACUUUAAAUGUGAGUGGAAUGGUAUGGACCUUACUACUAAAAAUGGAUGUGGCAUAUUUUUCGUGGACGAACGAGAAAGAAAAUUGUGGCAUAUCUUUGGUGGACGGAGGGAGUAGUACUCAUUGAUAAUGCAUGCCAACACAUGGUUCUUGCAAGUCAUAUAUAUACCUCAUCAGCAAUAUAGUAAAAUGAUGAUUUGACAACCAGAUUAAGACACCAAUUAUUCUUGUCGGGACACAGACAUAUAUGCAUAUAGAAUUAAUAUUAUUUACUAUUUCGUUUAUACACGUGAAUUAUGCUUUGGAUGCAACAUCGCCACGUCUCUUUCAUUUAUACUUCUCUAGUGUAUUGCGGACAAAAUAGUUAGUGUCUUUAAGAAAUUAAAAAUUUUCAAAUACAUAAGAAAGAAUAAUUAAUCUAAUUGGUGCGCCGGCAACUAAAACUUUUUUCAAUUCACUUUAUAUUUUAUAUACUCCCUCCGUCCACGAUUUAAUGCCCCAUUUUAGUGUGGGCACGGAGACUAAGAAAACUGAAAAAGGUGAUGUGAAUGAAAUAUAAGGGUAGUUGACUAAAGUGAUAAAGAUGCUGUGAGUGGGUUCACUAGUGAUAAAGUAUAGGAAAUAUAGAAUAUAAAAAUGAUAAAGGUGUUUUAAGUUGGGUCCAUUAGUGGCAAAGAGUAAUAAAUAUAGAAAAAGAAGAGUAAAAAAGUACAAAAAGCAUAAUAGGGCUUUAAUUUGUGGACAAAAAAUUAAGAGCAAGUAGGGCUUUAAAUUGUGGACGGAGGGAGUAUUUAACAUUACAAGUCAAUUGCUUGCAGAAUUUGAGCUUGUCUCCCGUGAUGGAGACCUCACCAUGCGGCAACCCGUGCCUGCGCCUGCCUUUUUUCUUCCCGUCUUGCUCUAUCCAGAUAUUAUACGUGAUCCAACUCUUUCCAGAUAUUAUACGUAAAUGAUAAUUUUACUAACAAAAAUUACACUUUUUAUCAAUAACAAAUGAAACUAUGCAUACAAAACAGGAGGUAAAUGAUAUUUUUCUUAAUAACAACUGAUACUUUUUCAAUGCAAAUAAUACUUCGCAAAUGAUAUUUUAAUAUAAAAGUAAAUGAUACUUUGUAUAAAAAUAAAUGUUAUAUUACAAAUGACACUUUUAAUGCAUACCAAUGACACUUUUAAUAACAAAAAUUGAGAAAAAAAAAUUAGAAUUCGGCCUUAAUUAAAAUUUGGACAACAUUUAUUUGGGCAAAGAAGAAAAACACCUGAAUUUUUUUUUUUCCUUUUUUGAGAGAGAAAAACUCAUGAAAUUUCAUGCAAAAGGUAAUGCAUAGCCAACCGGGCUCAAUCAUCUUUCGGCGGUUUUGGUUUGAUUCUUCCAACAUCUAGGGUAGCAUUCACACAAAAUCAACUCGUGUUCAAAAAUCUGAAAUUAAAAUUAACGAUGUGUCUCAGUAUAGAGAUAAGAACAUACCCCUCAAAUGGUUCGAGCCAAGGUCUAAUUCCUUCAGCAGUGUGAUAUUCCAAAUUUGAGUAGGCAUAUAUCCGCCAAAGUUGUUGUCUGACAAGCGAAUACUCUCAAGUUGUGGACAUUGGUACAAACUCGAUGGUAUAUCUCCUUCCAAAUUGUUAAAGGAUAGGUUCACUAGUUUAAGUCUUUGAAGGUUAUUGUACGUGCNUAGACAACAAGAAAUAUCUAUUGUCUAUUCUAUGACAAAAAAAUUAAAAAAUUCUAAUAUAUCUGCAUCCCUGUAUUACAAUACCAAUAUAUAUGAAAAAAUAAAAAUAAUUAAAAAUCAAAUAAUCAAACAAUACUUAUAAACCACUAAUACUCACAAUCAAAUAUUUACACAUCAGUGUAAAUAUUGGGUUCGAGUCCUCUGCGUGUGUUGAUCAAGCGGUAAGGGGUUAAUGCCUAAGGUCAAAGGUCUGGGAUUCGAGUCCCCUGUGGUGUAGCCUUUUAAUUUCGUUAUUUAAUAUUGUAAAUUUAUAAAAAAAAAAAAGUAUAUUUACACAUCAACAAUUGUAUUAUCUUUAAUACGCCUUCAUUCAUCUAAUAAAAAAAAUCUCUAAUAAAAUCUCCAACUAACUCCGGUCAUGAUCAUCUCUUGAAGGCGGAGGAAGGUGGAGUCCGUCGGGAAAUGGGUACUGCCUUGAUAGAUGAGAUCUUUCGGCUGGUCGCCCCAGAAGUCGUAGGUGAAGGACGUCGUUUGGGACAACGCCGUGUUGGAAACGGAGAGGAGGAGGACGAUGGAGGAGAGGAGAGGAGUUAAGGUUUGAAGAAGCUGGUUGGCCAUGGCUUAAUUGAUUUAGAUUUAGAGAUGUGGUGGAUGAUGGUGGUAUCGAUCUCUUGCACCUAUUUAUACUAGUAUGGUUCAUGCCUGUUAAUAAUUGUAUAUAUCAAUCAUCGUGCAUCUAUCCCAAAUUAUAUGUCUUAUUAUUCACUAAUUAGAUGGAUUAAAUCCUGAUUAGUAACCAUAAAAUUAAACUGUCAAUGAGGCCUUGCUCUAGUGGCAAAGCUGUGACACCGAAUAACUUUUCUUUGUGAAAUGUCUUGGGUUCAAUCUCGCCUGCAUGCGGUGAUGUGUGUCCAUUUUAGGUGGUGUGGUAUUCUUGUCUGCGUGCGGUGUUGUAUUGUUUAGUGUUGAGGUCCCACAUGCAGAGCGUUCUUGCCUGUGUACGUGUCACAGCCCAAAACCAUUUAUUUUCUUUACAAAUUUUAUAUAUGAAAAUUAUUUAAUUUUUAAGUUAUAGAGUUUUUGAAAUAUAUAUAGUAUCAAUUUUAUGUUAACUUAGUCGUGUCCCUAAUUAAAAGAAUGACUUUAAAAUAAAACUUAAGCCUUAAAAAUUUAAUCUACAUUCAUAUAUAACUGAAAUUACAUGCAUGUCUAAAUAUUAUUUAUAAUUAUCAAUAACAAGAUUAAUGAUUCUAUAUCUCUAUGUUUAUACAUGUAUUCACGUAUGACAUAGUAUAUAUUAGCUAUUAAGUUAAAAACUAAUAAAAUACUACACUUUUGCAUAGGAUAUAUAUUUAAUUAGUAGUAGGAUAGGACACGUGUAUUAAUUUUAAGGGCAAGUAAUCAAACUUUUGAAUGAUUCAUCAUGCUUAAAAAAAAAAGAGACCUAGAUAGAUGAUUCAUCAGAUUCAAAAACAAGUAUAAAUAGACUUCGGGUUUGAAAUUUUAAUUAAUUUGCAACAACAAUUCAAACUGACUGUAUUAAGGUAAGUAGUUACAGAUUUCAUACACAUAUUAUAUGAUUUCGCACACAUAUUAAGGUAAGUAUAUAUAAAUAUUUUUUAAAAUCAUAUAUUAUAUAAUAAUUAUAUUUAAGUUUUAUAUUAUUCUUUAUAAACUAUUGUUUCAUUCUAUAUAAUUAGGUGUGGCACGACUAGGACGUAACUUUCUAUUGAAUUUCUCAAGUUAAUCUUAGAGUUCAAGUUUCAGGUGUGAGAUUUAUUUAAAUACAUGUCGUACGUGGUUAUUUAUUGUCCAUUUUAAUAAGAUGUGUUUACCAUAUGUGUUAUGACGCAUAUUUUUAGGAUAUCACUAGGUGCCCAUAAAUAGGAUCCAGGACUUCACCGUCCUUGGAUUGCCACAAUGCGAUUUGAGGUUUAUUUUGAGGAUGUCGUUAGGGGCCCGUACAUAGGGUCCAGGACUUUAAUAGUCAUUGGGUUGCCAUAGUGCAAAUAUUGAGGAUAUAUAUGAAGUGACCGUAUGUGUUACCGUUUCAUUAACGUGGACAAUGAUUGCAUGUUUAAGAGACAAUAACCAAUUUUUCAGACAUUUGUGAACAAAAUGAAGCAUGUUUAGAGAUCCUUAAUACAGGUGUACGAAAUGAUGGAUAAAUAAGUUUGUGAAACAAAUUUCACCAUACCUAACCCCACAAUUAUUUGCGGUCGAAUUUCCUCGUCACAGGAAAAAGAGAUGAUGACAAAAGGGAAAAAAUUAAUUAACAAAGUAGAAGAUGCAUGACAACUGUAAAAGAAAAAUAAUGCUACUAAUUAAAUAGUCCAAACUUCAUACGUUUCAUAUCAUAAGUGGCAGUUCUAUUUUUUUUUUUGCGAAUGUGAACAAAAUAACGAAUAAUUUUUAAAGUAAUAGUAAUAAGGAGAUGUGUUUUGACAGAAAACGACAUGAGCGGCCUAAAAAUAAGAGGGAAAAAGAUAAUCAUAUAAAUAUUCAAAAUCAAACGGAUUGGCAUGUAUUCAUCAUUUUUUAUUUUUUAUUUUGAUAAUUUAACAGUACUCCCUCCGUCCGUCAAAAGUAGACCACUUUGGUUGGGCACGGGAUUUAAUAAAAUUAGUGAUGAUUUUGAUGUAGUAGAGAAAGAGUUCCACCACUUUAUGAGAUGUGUGGUUGAGAUUGAAUUUGUUGUGAUUUUUUUGUAAAUAAAGAGUGUUUGUAAGGAUAAAAGAUUAAAGUGGGUGGUGGGACCAUUUCCAUAAAAGGAAAGUGGUCUACUAUUUGCGGACGCCCAAUAUAGUAAAAGUAGUCUACUUUUGGCGGACGGGGAGAGUAUUAAAUAAAUAAAUUUAAAGGUUGCACCCCUUACUGCUUGGCUUUUAGAUUAUGUUAUAAUAAUAAAAUUAACAGCACGUUUACAAUAUAAAAUUAAUUAUGAUAAAUACAAUAUAUUAAUAAUAAAUACUCAAUUACCUCUUAACAUAAUUCGCGCAUCAUGGCUUUUAGCUUAUAUUAUAAAGAUAUAAUAUGUUGUCUAUAAUAAUCGACGGAAGGUAAUAGACAACAUGUUUUAUAUGUUGUCUAUAAUAAUAUAGACAGUAGAUCUAGUGUUAUAGAUAACAAUUAAUACUUGUUGUCUAUAUGAUGAUAGACACCAAAAAUCUCUGUUGUCUAUUCUAUGACAAAAAAAUUUAAAAAAAUUCUAAUAUAUUUACAUCCCUGUAUUACAAUACCAAUAUAUAUGAAAAAAUAAAAAUAAUUAAAAAUCAAAUAAUCAAACAAUACUUAUAAACCACUAAUACUCACAAUCAAAUAUUUACACAUCAACAACUGUAUUAUCUUUAAUUACGCCUUCAUUUAUCUAUUAAAAAAAAUCUCUAAUAAAAUCUCUAACUAACUCCGGUCAUCAUCUCUUGAAGGCUUAGAAAAUGUCCAAAUACAGCGGCACAUGCUCAUUAUUGUGUGAGCGAUGAGAACUUUGCGCUGAACCUAUAAAGUAACUAUACUUAACUGGUAAAGUAAUUGUAUCCCGUGAAUCUAAAGGAAGACUACACACGUUGAUAGAGUUUGAAAGAAAAGAAUAAAGAGAAUGAAAAUCCAAAGAAUUUGCUUCUUCCGUUGAACAAUCCCUACACAACAUUGAAAUAUCAAUGAAAAUAAUGGCUAUCGUAUACUCCCUCCAUCCAUGAAAGAACUUCAUAGGAGGGAGUGACACGGGUUUUAAGAAAAAAUAUUGUUAAGUGUAUUGAGAGUGGAUAAAAGGUAGUUGAGUGUAUUGGGAGUGGUGAAAAUGUGUUAUAGUUAAUAUUGAGAGUUGUGAAAAGUGAAAAGUAAGAGGAUUAUAAGUGGUGGGGUAUAGUCCAAAAAUAGGUAGGAAGUUCUUUUGUGGACGUCCCAAAAAGGAAAGAUAUGAAGUUCUUUCGUGGACGGAGGGAGUAUUAUUUUGCAGCAGCAACCACGUUUGAAAACUCGAUCCCUCUGUUCUUGAAUUUGUGAAAUUUCCGACUGAUUUAUUAGAUUCACCAUUUAUUUCAGUUUAAUUAGUCUAUAUAUAGAUAUUUCUUAUAUUAUUAAAUUGUUAACCUCAUGGUAGAUUUCAAGAUUUGAAAAUUCAACAAAGAGCUUGAGAAUUAUUGAGAUUGGAAGGGGAAGAUGAAACAUAAUUGGGUGAAAUUAGAAACCAAUUAAAGUCACAAGAUUGAACAAAAACAUAACUUAAAAACACAAAAUAAGCAAAUCGUAGAUGCAGUAUCUUGCAAGAAAAAGUUCAUAUUCCCAAGGCUAUGAUGAGCACGAAUUAGGGUGUGUCUGCAUUUUAUCCCUCUAAAUAGAGGAAUAACAAAAUUUUAUUCUUUAAAUGUUUGCUUUCUUAUCACACAUUCUACACAAACACCAUUUUUUCUUCCUUAUUUUCACUUCAAGGAGGANUAAUAUUAUCCCUCCAAUUUUGGUGUGAUAAUAUUAUCUCUUCUUGAAGUGAAAAUAAGGAAGAAAAAAUGGUAUUUGUGUAGGAUGUGGGAUAAGAAAGCAAACAUUUAAAGGUAUAAAUUUUUGUUAUUCCUCAUUUAGAGGAAUAAAAAGCAAACACACAUUAGAGUCUACUUACAAUUUAGGCGCAGGCUGUGCGAGAAUUACUUAGUCGAAUAGGAUCCUAAGUAUUUAUAUUUCUCAUGUUCUUGUGUAUUUUUUUACUGAUUCACUAUUGGAUUAACAAGAAUUAUCUUACUUUAAAUUUCUUGCUUUAAAAAAAAAAAAGAAUUAUCUUACUUCAUGUAUGGUAUGCCAACUGUUCGAUAAAGGUCCUUUUAGAAAUCUUCUAUUGAUUACCUUGCGAAGACCACAAAACUAGACACACCCAAAAGCAUUCUUGCAUAGUUUAUACAUAGAGAUGGCCGAUUGAUGAUCGUCUUAUUUGUAGACUUAACGCGAGCAGACUCGAUCGCUUAGUCCUUAUUGAUUUACGACACACAUGCUCACACACACACAUACACACAUCACAAAAUCACACAAAUUGACGGAUAAUGUUGCCGUUCAGCUCCUUCCUGAACCUCACCGCGGCAUUUUUCUGCACCAUAGUGGCCGUGAAAUACCACGAGACGAUGUCAUGGACGGCGACGUGUUGUCCGGUGGCGGCGGAUAGCCCGACCUGAACCUGCUGAGGAACAAAGUCGCUCAAAUCGUACUCAUAGUUGACAUCAAAUGUCUGCGAGCCGGCGGUGACUUUCACGGAGAUCAUCCUUGUGGCUCCGACGUAGUUGAUCCGCGCAGUCACCUGCUGCCCGAGUAUGGAGUUGUCGACCUUCGUCGUGUUGCUGGAUGCCCUAGAGCCGAAGUCGAUGCCGAUGUGGGGAUAGAGCGGAUCCCACGCGCCGUUGACGUAGGUGUCGAUUUCGACGGCGAAGACCGAGGGGCUGUUGCCGUUGGAGCCAAAGAUUCCGAGGUUGGCUCCGUUGGAGCCAGGGGGGAUGGUGGAACCGACGGGGGCAAUGAAGAAGGCGAGGCCGUCGGCAGGCUCGUUGUCGGCGCCCGGGGUGAUGAUGAAGUUCACAGUGGUUUCGAAGUCGACCUGCCCACCGGACUGCGAGAAUUGGACCGGGUUCGAGUGCAAGACGCGGCCGACUUGUGAGGGCUGUGCGUCUGUGAGGCGGAGGAAGGUGGAGUCCGUCGGGAAAUGGGCGCUGCCUUGAUAGAUGAGAUCUUUCGGCUGGUCGCCCCAGAAGUCGUAGGUGAAGGACGUCGUUUGGGACAACGCCGUGUUGGAAACGGCGAGGAGGAGGGCGAUGGAGGCGAGGAGAGGAGUUAAGGUUUGAACAAGCUGGUUGGCCAUGGCUUAAUUGAUUUAGAUUUAGAUUUAGAGAUGUGGUGGAUGAUGGUGGCCAGGUAUCGAUCUCUUGCACCUAUUUAUACUAGUAUGGUUCAUGCCUGUUAAUAAUUGUAUAUAUCAAUCAAUCAUCGUGCAUCUAUCCCAAAUUAUAUGUCUUAUUAUUCACUAAUUAGAUGGAAUAAAUCCUAAUUAGCAAUCUUAAAAUUACACCGCCAAUGAGGCCUUGCUCUAGUGGUAAAGCUGUGGCACCGAAUAACUUUUCUUUGUGAAAGGUCUUGGGUUCAAUCUCGCCUGCAUGCGGUGAUGUUUGUCCAUUUUAGAUGGUGUGGUAUUCUUGCCUGCGUGCGGUGUUGUAUUAUUUAGUCUUAGGCGUUCUUGCCUGUGUGCAUAUCACUGUGUGACAAUUAAAAGAAUGACUUUAAAAUAAAAGUUAAGCCUUAAAAAUUUAAUCUACAUUCAUAUAUAACUGAAAUUACAUGCAUGUCUAAUUUUUUUAAUAUCAUAACAAGAUAAGAUUUAUUAAAUAAUUCAGAUGCAUAAAUAAAAAGUUAAUCUAUAAACACAGUAUAGAUAUAUUAUCAAUGAUAGGCCGUGUAUAAGUCUUAAUCUGUAAAACUAUAUCAUCCCAGCCUUAAACGACUACCAUUCCUGCUUUCCCAGAGCAACCACACUGUUCCCACCCACAAAGCUUUAAGCAGUACAUGCAUGUCUAAAUAUUAUUUAUAAUUAUCAAUAACAAGAUUAAUGAUUCUAUAUCUCUAUGUUUAUACAUAUAUUCACGUAUGACAUAGUAUAUAUUAGCUAUUAAGUUAAAAACUAAUAAAAUACUACAGUUUUGCAUAGGAUAUAUAUUUAAUUAGUAGUAGGAUAGGACACGUGUAUUAAUUUUAAGGGCAAGUAAUCAAACUUUUGAAUGAUUCAUCAUGCUUAAAAAAAAAAAGAGACCUAGAUAGAUGAUUCAUCAGAUUCAAAAACAAGUAUAAAUAGACUUCGAGUUUGAAAUUUUAAUUAAUUUGCAACAACAAUUCAAACUGACUGUAUUAAGGUAAGUAGUUACAGAUUUCAUACACAUUAUAUGAUUUCGCGCACAUACGUAUGUAUAUAUAAAUAUUUUUUAAAAUCAUAUACUCCCUCCGUCCCCAAAAUAAGUUCCUCUUUGGGGACGGCACGGAUUUUAAGGAAAAGUGGUAAAGUGUAUUAAUAGUGGAGAAAAAUAUGUUAUAAUUAGUAUUGGAAGUUGUGAAAAGGUGAAAAAGUGUUAUAAUUAGUAUUGGGAGUGGUGAAAAAGUGAAAAGUAAGAAUAAAUAAAGUAUUAUUAGUGGUGGGGUAGUUGUCCAAAAAUGGAAAAAAAGAAAGAGGAACUUAUUUGGGGGACAUCCCAAAAUGGAAAAAGAGGAACUUAUUUCAGGGACGGAGGGAGUAUUAUAUAAUAAUUAUAUUUAAGUUUUAUAUUAUUCUUUAUAAACUAUUGUUCCAUUCUAUAUAAUUAGGUGUGGCACGACUAGGACGUAACUUUCGAUUGAAUUUCUCAAGUUAAUUUUCAAGUUCAAGUUUCAGGUGUGAGAUUUAUUUAAAUACAUGUCAUGAUUAUUCAUUGUCCAUUUUAAUAGUAUGUGUUUACCAUAUGUGUUAUGACGCAUAUUUUGAGGACAUCGCUAGGAGCCCAUAAAUAGGGUCCAGGACUUCACCGUCCUUGGAUUGCCACAAUGCGAUUUGAGGUUUAUUUUGAGGAUGUCGUCAGGGGCCCGUAAAUAGGGUCCAGGACUUUAAUAGUCAUUGGGUUGCCACAGUGCGAAUAUUGAAGAUAUAUAUGAAGUGACCGUAUGUGUUACCGUUUCAUUAACGUGGACAAUGAUUGCAUGUUUAAGAGACAAUAACCAAUUUUUCAGACAUUUGUGAACAAAAUGAAGCAUGUUUAGAGAUCCUUAAUAAAGGUGUACGAAAUGAUGGAUAAAUAAGUUUGUGAAACAAAUUUCACCAUACCUAACCCCACAAUUAUUUGCGGUCGAAUUUCCUCGUCACAGGAAAAAGAGAUGAUGACAAAAGGGCAAAAAUUAAUUAACAAAGUAGAAGAUGCAUGACAACUGUAAAAGAAAAAUAAUGCUACUAAUUAAAUAGUCCAAACUUCAUACGUUUCAUAUCAUAAGUGGCAGUUCUAUUUUUUUUUUGCGAAAGUGAACAAAAUAACGAAUAAUUUUUAAAGUAAUAGUAAUAAGGAGAUGUGUUUUGACAGAAAACGACAUGAGCGGCCUAAAAAUAAGAGGGAAAAAGAUAAUCAUAUAAAUAUGGGUUAAUUGCCUCUAAAUACACCACCUUUCCUUGAAUUCUACAAUUGCACAUCACCUUUAAAAUCCGCCCUUAAAUACACCACCUUUCCUUGAGUUCUACAAUUGCACAUCACCUUUAAAUCCGCCCCAAAAUACAUCAUCUUUAUAUUUUUUCUGUUUUUGCACAUGACUAAAAAAUUCUCAAGAAAUAAAUUAAAGUGUUAAUUUAUAAAUUUAAAUAUCUUUUUAGCAGCGAAAACAUAAUAAAAUAAAAUUCUUUAUAAAGUUUAAAAUCAUAUAUAUAUAUAUAUAUAUAUAAGUAUUUUCGUAAAGAAAUAAAUUCUCUAAUAAAUUUUUAGAAAGAACUUGAAUUAAAAAAAUAAACAAGUCAUGACAUUAAGAAAAUAAAAUGAAAUUUUUAUUUUAAUAAAUUUCACACGAAUUCGAUAUAAUUUGGAAUUUAGAGUUACAAUAAUCAGAAGUACCACAUGAAUAAUAUAAUGAGUUUGAAAGAAAUUUUUUUUAAAGAGGUUCGACACGCCCAUUCGACUUUCCACGCGCCUCCAAUGUCAUUUACCUGAAAUAUUAANUAUAUAAGUAUUUUUCGUAAAGAAAUAAAUUCUCUAAUAAAUUUUUAGAAAGAACUUGAUUAAAAAAUAAACAAGACAUGACAUUAAGAAAAUAAAAUGAAACUUUUAUUUUAAUAAAUUUCACACGAAUUCGAUAUAAUUUGGAAUUUAGAGUUACAAUAAUAAAAAGAACCACAUAAAUAAUAUAAUCAGUUUGAAAGAAAUAUAUAUAUAUUUUUUUAAAGAGGUUCGACGCGCCCAUUCGACUCUCCACGCGCUACCAAUGUCAUUACCUGAAAUACUAAAUAUGGGAUAAGCAUACAUAAUAUACUUAGUGUGGGAACAUGCAAUUAUUGUCCACGUUAAUAAAAUAGUAACACAUACGAUCAUAACAUUCAAAACGACACAAUUUUGCCAAUAUGGAAGCCACGUCAUUUAAAGUGGUAACACCCUAAUCUAACUAAAGUGUUAAAUAUAAAUUUAAAGCGGAAAUAUAAUAAAAUAAAGUUCUUUAUAAAAAUAAAUAAAGAAUUUUAUUUUAUUAUAUUUCCGCUGCUAAAAAAGAUAUUUAAAAUUUAUAAAUUAACACUUUAAUUUAUUUCUUGAGGAUUUUUAAGUCAUGUGCAAAAACAGAAAAAAAAUAUAAAGGUGAUGUAUUUUGGGGCGGAUUUAGAAUUCAAGGAAAUGUGGUGUAUUUAGGGGCGGAUUUUAAAGGUGAUGUGCAAUUGUAGAAUUCAAGGAAAGGUGGUGUAUUUAGGGGAAAUUAACCCUAUAAAUAUUCAAAAUCAAACGGAUUGGCAUGUAUUCAUCAUUUUUUAUUUUUUAUUUUGAUAAUUUAACAGUAUUAAAUAAAGAAAUUUAUAGGCUGCGUCCCUUACUGCUUGGCUUUUAGAUUAUGUUGUAAUAAUAAAAUUAAAAGCACGUUUACAAUAUAAAAUUAAUUAUGAUAAAUACAAUAUAUUAAUAAUAAAUACUCAAUUACCUCUUAACAUAAUUCGCGCAUCAUGGCUUUUAGCUUAUAUUAUAAAGAUAUAAUAUGUUGUCUAUAAUAAUCGACGGAAGGUAAUAGACAACAUGUUUUACUUCUUGUCUAUAAUAAUAUAGACAGUAGAUCUAGUGUUAUAGAUAACAAUUAAUACGUGUUGUCUAUAUGAUGAUAGACACCAAAAAUCUCUGUUGUCUAUUCUAUGACAAAAAAAUUUAAAAAAAUUCUAAUAUAUUUACAUCCCUGUAUUACAAUACCAAUAUAUAUGAAAAAAUAAAAAUAAUUAAAAAUCAAAUAAUCAAACAAUACUUAUAAACCACUAAUACUCACAAUCAAAUAUUUACACAUCAACAAUUGUAUUAUCUUUAAUUACGCCUUCAUUUAUCUACUAAAAAAAAUCUCUAAUAAAAUCUCUAACUAACUCCGGUCAUCAUCUCUUGAAGGCUUAGAAAAUGUCCAAAUACAGCGGCACAUGCUCAUUAUUGUGUGAGCGAUGAGAACUUUGCGCUGAACCUAUAAAGUAACUAUACUUAACUGGUAAAGUAAUUGUAUCCCGUGAAUCUAAAGGAAGAAUAAACACGUUGAUAGAGUUUGAAAGAAAAGAAUAAAGAGAAUGAAAAUCCAAAGAAUUUGCUUCUUCCGUUGAACAAUCCCUACACAACGUUGAAAUAUCAAUGAAAACAAUGGCUAUCCUAUACUCCCUCCAUCCAUGAAAGAACUUCCUAGGAGGGAGUGACACGGGUUUUAAGAAAAAAUAUUGUUAAGUGUAUUGAGAGUGGAUAAAAGGUAGUUGAGUGUAUUGGGAGUGGUGAAAAUGUGUUAUAGUUAAUAUUGAGAGUUGUGAAAAGUGAAAAGUAAGAGGAUUAUAAGUGGUGGGGUAUAGUCCAAAAAUAGGUAGGAAGUUCUUUUGUGGACGUCCCAAAAAGGAAAGAUAUGAAGUUCUUUCGUGGACGGAGGGAGUAUUAUUUUGCAGCAGCAACCACGUUUAAAAACUCGAUCCCUCUAUUCUUGAAUUUGUGAAAUUUCCGACUGAUUUAUUAGAUUCACCAUUUAUUUCAGUUUAAUUAGUCUAUAUAUAGAUAUUUCUUAUAUUAUUAAAUUGUUAACCUCAUGGUAGAUUUCAAGAUUUGAAAAUUCAACAAAGAGCUUGAGAAUUAUAGAGAUUGGAAGGGGAAGAUGAAACAUAGUUGGGUGAAAUUAGAAACCAAUUAAAGUCAGGAGAUUGAAGAAAAACAUAACUUAAAAACACAAAAUAAGCAAAUCGUAGAUGCAGUAUCUUGCAAGAAAAAGUUCAUAUUCCCAAGGCUAUGAUGAGCACGAAUUAGGGUGUGUCUGCAUUUUAUCCCUCUAAAUGGAGGAAUAAUAAAAUUUUAUGCCUUUAAAUGUUUGCUUUCUUAUCACACAUUCUAAACAAACACCAUUUUUUCUUCCUUAUUUUCACUUCAAUGAGGGAUAAUAUUAUCCCUCCAAUUUUGGUGUGAUAAUAUUAUCCCUCCUACAAGUGAAAAUAAGGAAGAAAAAAUGGUACUCCCUUCGUCCCAAACGAAAUGUCCUGUUUUCCUUUUUGGGCUGUCCCAAACGAAAUGUCCUGUUUCCUUUUUUGGCAAUACACUCUCUCUCUAUACUUAAUAUUUAAAUAAUUUUCACCAACCCACUUUAUCUACUUUAUACACAUUUCUUAAUCUCCGUGCCGAAAAGAAAUGGGACAUUUCGUUUGGGACGGAGGGAGUAUUUGUGUAGGAUGUGGGAUAAGAAAACAAACAUUUAAAGACAUAAAUUUUUGUUAUUCCUCCAUUUAGAGGGAUAAAAAGCAAACACACCUUAGAGUCUAAUUACAAUUUAGGCGCAGGCUGUGUGAGAAUUACUUAGUCGAAUAGGAUCCUUAGUAUUUAUAUUUCUCAUGUUCUUGUGUAUUUUUUCACUGAUUCACUAUUGGAUUAACAAGAAUUAUCUUACUUUAAAAAAAAAAAAGAAAUGAUCUUACUUCAUGUAUGGUAUGCCAACUGUUCGAUAAAGGUCCUUUUAGAAAUAUUCCAUAGAUUACCUUGCAAAGACCACAAAACUAGACACACCCUGCAUAGUUUAUACAUAGGGAUGGCCGAUUGAUGAUCGUCUUAUUUGUAGACUUAACGAGAGCAGACUCGAUCGCUUAGUCCUUACUGAUUUACGACACACAUGCACACAUACACAGAUACACACAUCACAAAAUCACGCAAAUUGACGGAUAAUGUUGCCGGCCAGCUCCUUCCUGCUCCACGCCACGGCAUUUUUCUGCACCAUGGUGGCCGUGAAAUACCACGAGACGAUGUCAUGGGUGGCGACGUGUUGUCCGGUGGCGGCGGAUAGCCCGACCUGAACCUCCUGAGCAACAAAGUAGCUCAAAUCGUACUCAUAGCUGACAUCAAACGUCUGAUUGCCGGCGGUGACUUUGACGGAGAUCAUCCUUGUGGCUCCGACGUAGUUGAUCCGCGCAGUUACCUGCUGCUUGAGUAUGGAGCUGUCGACCGGCGUCGUCUUGCUGGAUACCCUAGAGCCGAAGUCGAUGCCGAUGUGGGGAUAGAGCGGAUCCCACGCGCCGUUGACGUAGGUGUCGAUUUCAACGGCGAAGACCCCGGGGCUGUUGCCGUUGGAGCCAAAGAUUCCGAGAUUGGCUCCGUCGGAGCCAGGGGGGAUGGUGGAGUCGACGGGGGCAAUGAAGAAGGCGAGGCCGUCGGCAGGCUCGUUGUCGGCGCCGGGGGUGAUGAUGAAGUUCACGGUGGUUUCGAAGUCGACCUGCCCAUUGGACAUCCAGAAUUGGACCGGUUCCGAGUACAUGACGCGGCCGACUUGGGACGGUUGUGCGUCUGUGAGGCGGAGGAAGGUGGAGUCCGUCGGGAAAUGGGCGUUGCCUUGAUAGAUGAGAUCUUUCGGCUGGUCGCCCCAGAAGUCGAAGGUGAACGACGUCGUUUGGGACAACGCCGUGUUGGAAACGGCGAGGAGGAGGGCGAUGGAGGCGAGGAGAGGAGUUAAGUUGGCCAUGGCUUAAUAGAUUUAGAUUUAGAGAUGUGGUGGAUGAUGGUGGUAUCGAUCUGUUGCACCUAUUUAUACUAGUAUGGUUCAUGCCUGAUAAUAAUUGUAUCAAUCAAUCAUCGUGCAUCUAUCCCAAAUUAUAUGUC
rnacentral:lncRNA from 1 species